CUCAUCCUCUGUCGUCCCCUUCUCCUUGUGCCCUCCAUCUUUCCCAACAUCAGGGUCUUUUCCAGGGAGUCUUCUCUUCUCCUGAGGUGGCCAAAGUCUUGGAGCCUCAGCUUCAAGAUCUGUCCUUCCAGUGAGCACUCAGGGCUGAUUUCCUUCAGAAUGGAGAGGUUUGAUCUUCUUGCAGUCCUUCUUCCUUAGUUUUCUUAAUUUGCUUUGGAUUCAUGGUCGCCUUCGCUUGCCCAGCCCUGUUCCCAGUGGACGCCCUCCAAACUCAACAGAGCGCAAAUCGCUAGCCGUGCUCCCAAAGCUUUCUCUCCCUGCCUGUGUUGCCUAAGAUACAUUUGGGGGCAAAAAUGUGAUCCUCUCGGCUUCCCCCUUUCUUCUGCUUUCCAGCAAGGCUCCAGAGUUAGCCACGCUUGAGGUGGCUGCCACAAUCGAUGUCCCUUUCGCAAGCAGGCUCUCUUCAAGCUGUCUCUCUGGGUCUCGUGCCAUCCCAGCCACCACUGCUUUGAGGGCCUGGGAACUUGGGCUCCAAAAGAGCCUUACCAGGGGAGAGGGUUGCUUAUGUGCCAAGGGGUGUGCAUGUGUGUGUGUGUGUGUGUGAGAGAGAGAGAGAGAGAGAGAGAGAGAGAGAGACGGGAUGGUUCGAAAGGCCACAAAACCAAGCAAAAUACAGAAGUAGGCCAUUGGACAAGAUACAUAAUAAUAUAAUGUUUUAUACAUAAACAGAGCCUAGGACUUGCUGAUCAGAAGGUCGGCGGUUCGAAUCCCCGCGACGGGGUGAGCUCCCAUUGCUCGGUCCCAGCUCCUGCCCACCUAGCAGUUCGAAAGCACGCCAGUGCAAGUAGAUAAAUAGGUACAGCUCCGGUGGGAAGGUAAACGGUGUUUCCGUGCGCUACUCUGCUUCGCCAGAAGUGGCUUAGUCAUGCUGGCCACAUGACCCGGAAGCUGUACACCGGCUCCCUCAGCCAGUAAAAUGAGAUGAGCGCCGCAACCCCAGAGUCGGUCACGACUGGACCUAAUGGUCAGGGGUCCCUUUACCUUUACCUAAUAUAAUCAGAUGGCACUUUGCUCCGUCUUCCUGACAUUUCCUUUCCUGUCAAUUCUUGCAUUUUGUGUGAUCUUUCAGACAUUGCAAAAGGCACUUCUGGAAAUCUAGUGUUAAUUGUUUCGUCAGGGGGAGCAAUCAGUUAACUCAGAAAAACAGGGGAGCUUUGCGUUGUAAUUUUCACGAUCGCACUGUUGCCCCUCGGGGGAUGAAAUUUGCCUGGCAUCCUGGUGUACAGUUAAAAUUGGGCAAUGCAUGGCAGCAUAUUCACCCCAAAGCCACGACCCAUACGUGAAAGAGGUGGAUCUCAGUAGUUAACCACAUAAAGAUCGGCUUUAUUGGGCAAAUAAUAAUAAUAAAUUUAUACCCCACCCAUCUGGCUGGGUUUCCCCAGCCACUCUGGGCAGCUCCCAACAGAAUAAAAAAGGGAUAAACUAUCAAACAUUAGAAACUUCCCUAAACAGGGUUGCCUUCAGAUAUCAUCUAAAACUCAGGUAGUUGUUUAUUUCCUUGACAUCUGAUGGGAGGGUGUUCCACAGGGUGGGCGCCACCACUGAGAAGGCCCUCUGGCUGGUUCCCUGUAGCUUUGCUUCUUACAGUGAGGGAACCACCAGAAGGCCCUCGGUGCUGGACCUCAGUGUCUGGGCAGAAUGAUCGGGGUGGAGAUGCUCCUUCAGGUAUACUGGACCGAGGCUGUUUAGGGCUUUAAAGGUCAGCACCAACAAUCUGAAUUGUGCUUGGAAACAUACUGGGAGCCAAUGUAGGUCUUUCAGGACCGGUGUUAUGUGGUCCUGGCGGCCGCUCCCAGUCACCAGUCUAGCUGCUGCAAUCUGGAUUAGUUGUCGUUCCCAGGUCACCUUCAAAGGUAGCCCCACGUAGAGUGCAUUGCAGUAGUCCAAGUGGGAGACAACCAGAGCAUGCACCACUCUGGCGAGACAUAGUCUAAUGUUGGCUUGUGCGCUUGACCUAAGGGUAAGAAAAGCACAAUGGUCAUUCUCAGCAACCGAACAUCAACCCCACUGCCAACCCAUACCCUCCCCACCCACCCAGCAUCCAUGUAUUCCACUGGCAUGUGCAGGGUCCCAAUCCAUACGUUUACUCAAGGAUGUGUGCGUCAAUGGGCACACAUGAAGUCCCUUCACAUACUGCCCAAGCGUUUAGGCCGUGGGGAGCACAACUGUAGCAGACGUUGGCUGUGGGGACCCUAUUUUGCAUGCUCUUAGGGCAUGGUGGGGGUCUCCAAGCCCCACUUGGUUUCUCCUUUAGGGAGUCACUUGACCUCAAAAGUUGUAUCCAGCAUCUAUCUAUCUAUCUAUCUAUCUAUCUAUCUAUCUAUACAGUGGUACCUCAGUUUACAUACGCUUCAGGUUACAUAUGCUUCAGGUUACAGACUCCGCUAACCCAGAAUUAGUACCUCGGGUUAAGAACUUUGCUUCAGGAUGAGAACAGAAAUCGCGCGGCGGCAGCAAGAGGAGGCCCCAUUAGCUAAAGUGGUGCUUCAGGUUAAGAACAGUUUCAGGUUACGAACGGACCUCUGGAACGAAUUAAGUACUUAACCUGAGGUACCACUGUAUAUCUAUCUAUCUAGCUAGCUGUCUGUCUAUCUAUCCUCUAUCUAUCUAUCUAUCUAUCUAUCUAUCUAUCCAUCUAUCGCUAUCUAGCUAUCUAGCUAUCCUCUAUCUAGCUAUCAUCUAUCUAGCUAUCUAUCAGCUAUCAGCUAUCAGCUAUCAUCUAUCUAUAUCUAUCUGUAUCUAUCUCAGGCUAACGCUGGGUUUUGUUUGCUGCUAAUUGCAAGCUUUUAAAAGUAUUUCUUGCAACCCAGAACUGCAUAGAAACACGUCUCUCUCACAUACAGAGGUGAUGCCAGAACCCUCCCGCCUGCCCCUCCCCCGGUUGCUUAACGAAGGAAUAUUUAUCAGCGAGGUUCAAAAAGGAUUCAAAGGAGCUUUGCUUUUGAAGUUAAUAUUUCUCCCACCCCGCCUCCCCACCCCCCACUCAAAAAUUAUAAUAAAAUCUCCAAAGAGCAUUUUCCAGCAAGACAAAUAUGAAGCAAGGAUGGGUUACUUUCUUGAAAAUUAAUUAUGUAUUCAGAUGCAAAUAUUGGGGGGGGGGGAGAGAGGUAUGCUAAUGCUGUCGCCUUUGAUUAUAGAAGACAGAAAAAAAGACUCUAGAUCUUUGGCUGGUUUCCCUGAGUUUAAAAAGAGUUUCCUUACAACAGACACUUUUGUCCCCGGGUUUCGCCCUGUCAGAAUGGCGUCCCUCCCCACGGCACCCCAACCCCAAGUUGGCACACUAGCUGCCGCCACUGUGAAGGAGGGUCUUUAGACUCCGUUGUCGGGUUCAAGUGGAAACGAUGCCAUUGGCUGCAAGGGAAACUGAGCUGCGUCGAGCCAAACCCUUGAGAAAGGCAUAGGGAACAAUGGCGGCUGCUCAGAACAGUGGCUACUGGGUGACUUGCCAGACUGAGGUGGUUGGUUUUUUGGGGGUAGUUUAAAGCCUUUGCCUCCCUCCUCAAUGCUAGGUAUACACUGAACGGGAGGAAGCAACAGAACCACUCUGUUCUGCCUUGGUCAGACCCCACCUGGAAUACUGUGUCCAAUUCUGGGCACCACCAUUUAAGAAGGAUGUUGACCAGCUGGAAGGUGGGCAGAGGAGGGAGACCAAGAUGAUCAAGGGUCUGGAAAGCAAGCCAUAUGAGGGACAGUUGAAGCAGCUGGGCAUGUUUAGCCUGGAAAACAGUAGUCUGAGAGGAGAUAUGAUAGCCAUCUUCAAUUAUCUUAAGGGCUGUUCUUUUGCCUUGGUCAAGCCACACCUGGAAUACUGUGUCCAAUUCUGGGCACCACAAUUUAAGAAGGAUGUUGACCAGCUGGAAGGUGGGCAGAGGAGGGAGACCAAGAUGAUCAAGGGUCUGGAAAGCAAGCCAUAUGAGGGACAGUUGAAGCAGCUGGGCAUGUUUAGCCUGGAAAACAGUAGUCUGAGAGGAGAUAUGAUAGCCAUCUUCAAUUAUCUUAAGGGCUGUUCUUUUGCCUUGGUCAAGCCACACCUGGAAUACUGUGCCCAAUUCUGGGCACCACAAUUUAAGAAGGAUGUUGACCAGCUGGAAGGUGUGCAGAGGAGGGCGACCAAGAUGAUCAAGGGUCUGGAAAGCAAGCCUGAUGAGGAACGGUUGAAGGAGCUGGGUAUGUUUAGCCUCGAUAAGAGGAGACUGAGAGGAGAUAUGAGAGCCAUCUUCAAAUAUCUUAAGGGCUGUUCUUUUGCCUUGGUCAAGCCACACCUGGAAUACUGUGUCCAAUUCUGGGCACCACAAUUGAAGAAGGAUGUUGACCAGCUGGAAGGUGUACAGAGGAGGGCGACCAAGAUGAUCAAGGGUCUGGAAAGCAAGCCUGAUGAGGAACGGUUGAAGGAGCUGGGUAUGUUUAGCCUCGAUAAGAGGAGACUGAGAGGAGAUAUGAGAGCCAUCUUCAAAUAUCUUAAGGCCUGUUCUUUUGCCUUGGUCAAACCACAUCCAGUGGCUGUGGACCUUUUAAGAUCUGAAGCCUACAUGUGCCUUGGUUUUUCUUGGUCUCAUUUCUCCCUUUAUCGAGUUACAGAUUUAUAGUACCGCCUCAGGCCUCAGACCAGUUCUGGGCAUCACAAUUUAAGAUGGAUGUUGACAAGCUGGAAGGUGUGCAGAGGAGGGAAACCGAGAUGAUCCAGGGUCUGGAAACCAAGCCUGAUGAGGAACGGUUGAAGGAUCUGGGUAUGCUUAGCCUGGAAAAGAGGAGACAGAGAGGAGAUACGAUAGCCAUCUUCAAAUAUUUUAAGGGCUGUCACGUGGAGGAGGGAACAAGCUUGUUUAGUAUUGCUCUGAAAUGUAGGACCCGAACCAAUGGCUUCAAGUUACAAUAAAGGAGAUUCUGACUCCACAUAAUAAUAAUAAUAAUAAUAAUAAUAAUAAUAAUAAUAAUACAGUGGUACCUUGGGUUACAGACCCUUCAGUUUCAGAUGCUUCAGGUUACAGACUCCUCUAACAGAGAAAUAGUACCUUGGGUUAAGAGCUUUGCUUCAGGAUGAGAACAGAAAUUGCACAGCGGCAGCAGCGGGAGGCCCCAUUAGCUACAGUGGUACCUCAGGUUAAGAACAGUUUCAGGUUAAGAACGGACCUCCAGAACAAAUUAAGUUCUUAACCUGGGGUACCACAAUAAUAAUAAUAAUAAUAAUAAUAAUAAUAAUAAUAAUAAUAAUAAAUAAAAUAAAAAUACCCCACCCAUCUGGCUAGGUUUCCCCAGCCACUCUGGGCAGCUUCCAACAAAACACUAAAAUAUAAUAACCUCUUAAACAUUAAAAGCUUCCCUAAACAGGGCUGCCUUCAGAUGUCUUCUAAAAGUUUGGUAGUUAUUUUUCUCUUUGACAUCUGGUGGGAGGGCGUUCCACAGGGCGGGUGCCACUACCAAGAAGGCCCUACUUCACUACCGAGAAUCGGGGGGGGGGGGCAGAACCUGGAGCAGGAAUAGGGAGGAGCAACUGGGCUUUCAAGUGGCUUCAGGGGGGUGACAAGAGUCCCCCUACUGGGGUGCAAUGAGUCUCUGAUGAGACCAAGCAUAGUAGCAACAGCUAUCGUUAGGAAGAAAGGUCCUGACGGACGGUUUCCUGUUAGGAUUCGGCCGGCCGUCCAUUUCCAGCUGCCUUUUCUGCUUAGACACAUCAUGGAUGUUCAGAGGCACCUUUGAUCACCGCCGUCCACCGCACCCGGUGACAAUCGAUUCCCCCCACCCCACUUCCUUUGUGUCUCCACCCCACCCUUGGCAGGCGAGCGUUUUCGCAGAAGCUCUGAAAGAUUAAUGGGGAAGGUGUGGGUGACUGGCUGGCGUGGCGCUGGGGGUGGUGAGUGAGAGCUUUUCCUUCUGAUGGGAAAAUUAAUUAUUCACCACCCAAAGGAGAAGGAAGGCGAGGGGAGUCGGGCGGCAGGAGGAGUCCAGGCUGAGGAGUCUUCAAAACGAGCCUGACAGCAUGUCCUUGGAGAAGGUUGGUUGUUGGAAAGAGAGGAACAAGGGAGUCUUCGGAGGAUGGACCAGGAAGACAGGAGAGGGAAUAGCGGGAGAUAGACUAGGCAGAAUUGGAGCCCCAGGGAGUGUUUUCAAGGCCAGCCGCCAGUGAGGGACACAACAAGUCACUUUCUGUUUCUCGUUCUCCAGAUUUCCACAACAUUCUACAGGGGAGUGGACAGAUAGAUAAUUUAUUAUGGUGAAAGACCAGCUCACGUAACAUAACACAAUAAAAGCAACAAUAAAAACACACACACAAAAAUUUAACAUAAAAAUAAAAUAUACAAUCGGAGCAGAUUGCAGCAAUAGCUCAAGAGUUAAAAUUGAGAUAUAUACAUACACCCGUACAACUGAGAUUUGUGUUUUUUGAGGAGUGUUUUUGGGGAUCCACCAGCCUUUUAGUGCAGAAUUAUCCAGAUAUACGCAUGUUUUGCAUACCAAUACCAUCCCCCCCCCCUUUGGACGCAGGUGGCGCUGUGGUCUAAACCACUGAGCCUCUUGGGCUUGCCAAUUGGAAGGGUGGUGGUUUGAAUCCCUGCGACAGAGUGAGCUCCCGUUGCUCUGUCCCAGCUCCUGCCAACAUAGCAGUUCGAAAGCACGCCAGUGCAAGUAGAUAAAUAGGUACCACUGCGGUGGGAGGGUAAACAGCAAUUCAUGCGCUCUGGCAAGACCGACUGGGACAACUUGACGUGCACACAAGGCCUGAAUAAAGAGUUAAUUUCCCGGACACCUUGUGAGUCUUUGCUGACCACUGCCUUGACACCACAGAACCAUGGGGAAGGUGGAUUUUGGGGUCCCUGGUGACAAUUUGGGAACAGCCUUGUGAUCUUCGGGUGAAGGGCAGCGUGCAGAUUUAGUAAAUAAAAUAAAUACAGUGGUACCUCUGGUUGCGAAUGGGAUCCAUUCCGAAGCCCCAUUCGCGACAUGAGCAGAAUGCAACCCGCGUGCAAGGGUCACGAUUCGCCAUUUCUGCGCAUGAUGUCAUUUUGAGCGUCUGCGCAUGCGCGAGCGGUGAAACCCGGAAGUAACCCUUUCCGGUACUUCCGGGUCGCCGCGGGACGCAACCUGAAAAGAUCUAUCCUGAAGCAAGCGUAACAAAAGGUAUGACUGUAAGUACCGUAUUUUUCACUCUAUAAGGCGCACCAGACCACAAGACGCACCUAGUUUUUGGAGGAGGAAAACAAGAAAAAAAAUAUUCUGAAUCUCAGAAGCCAGAACAACAAGAGGGAUAGCUGCGCAGUGAAAGCAGCAAUCCCUCUUGCUGUUCUGGCUUCUGGGAUAGCUGCGCAGCCUGCAUUCGCUCCAUAAGACGCACACACAUUUCCCCUUACUUUUUAGGAGGGGGAAAGUGAGUCUUAUAGAGCAAAAAAUACGGUAAAUUUGGGGUUUGGCCCGUGGCGCAUCUGUUGCAACACUUUUCAUUAGGAACUGAAUGGGGGUGGGGGUGGAGAUUAUCACCCGGAGUCUAUGAAAACAGCCCUACGCACGAGGCAGCCAUAUGCUCCAACAGCCACCAGAAUUAAGUGUCUCUACUUAGAAAGGGUUGGGAGUCCCCCGAGGUUAAUUAGCAAAUGCAGCUCAGCUGCGGAAAACCUUGUAAGAACGCAUCGGCAUCUUCGAGAAGCCCAGCAUAGGAUUACUACAAAAUAGGCAGGAACCCUUCUGAAUUAGCAGCGUGUAGUGCACGGCCUGUUUCAUCCACACUCGGAGCUUGGAACAUUUCGGCCUUAGCUGGUCUAGUUGCCCAUUGCAAACCUCACCAUUUCUUUAAAAAGAAGAAGAAGAAGAGUUUGGAUUUGAUAUCCCGCUUUAUCACUACCCAAAGGAGUCUCAAAGCGGCUAACAUUCUCCUUUCCCUUCCUCCCCGACAACAAACACUCUGUGAGGUGAGUGGGGCUGAGAGACUUCAGAGAAGUGUGACUGGCCCAAGGUCACCCAGCAGCUGCAGGUGGAGGAGCGGGGAAGCGAACCCGAUUCACCAGAUUACGAGUCCACCACUCUAAACCACUACAACCACACUGGUCUCGGGUGCGGGAGGUGAUUCGAUAACCUUUUCUACGUAGCGAUAACAACACAGUCCCUCGUAACGCGGGGUGCAGUUUUUUAAAGCACAGCAUGUAUAUCAGCACACAAAACUCAUGGAAUCGUAGAGUUGGAAGGGACACCCCCACCCCUGAGUAAUUUUUAUCAUUGUAUUAUUUAUUGAAUUUAUAUACCGCCCUAUAACCAGGGGAAGGGGCGCGGGUGGCGCUGUGGGUUAAACCACAGAGCCUAGGACUUGCCGAUCAGAAGGUCGGCGGUUCAAAUCCCUGCGACGGGGUGAGCUCCUGUUGCUCGGUCCCUGCUCCUGCCAACCUAGCAGUUCGAAAGCACGUCAAAGUGCAAGUAGAUAAAUAAGUACCACUCCGGCGGGAAGGUAAAUGGCGUUUCCGUGCGCUGCUCUGGUUCGCCAGAAGUGGCUUAGUGAUGCUGGCCACAUGACCCGGAAGCUGUACGCCAGCUCCCUCGGCCAAUAAAGCGAGAUGAGCAUCGCAACCCCAGAUUCGGUCACGACUGGACCUAAUGGUUAGGGGUUCCUUUACCUUUACCUUUAAUACCCGGGGGGGGCCUCAGGGUGGUUCACAGAAUAAAAUCAAGAUGUAUAACCAUAAAAUACAUAAUAAAAAUAAAAACAACAACCCAAUAGCCAACCCCCCCCAAAAAAAUAACAUUUUACAAGGGCGUAGGGAUGUAAAUCAGAUCUGCAGGGGGUCUUCGCCGCAGGAUCACAUUCACCCGGUGCUAUACCAGCUGCACUGGCUCCCGGUGGACUACAGGGUCAGGUUUAAGGUGCUGGUUUUAACCUUUAAAGCCCUAUAUGGCCUAGGACCCUCAUACCUACGGGACCGUCUCUCCUGGUAUGCCCCACGAAGGACCUUAAGGUCUGCAAAUAAUAACACCCUAAGAUCCCAGGCCCCAGGGAGAUUAGACUGGCCUCGACCAGAGUCAGGGCCUUUUCGGCCAUGGCCCCUGCCUGGUGGAACGCUCUCUCAGAAGAGACCAUGGCCCUGCGGGAUUUGACAUCUUUCCGCAGGGCCUGCAAGAUGGAGCUGUUCUGCCAGGCCUUUGGUCAGGGUUCAGUCUGAAUCUUUUCUUUCCUAGCCCACUCACAGGUCCUUUAUAAGACCAGUGGUAACAGUUGGCCCUGGAGAAUAUUAACCACUCCCUAUUUUACCCGUGGACUGCCAUCUGUCCAGAUUUUAAUUUGCUCUGAACUAAUUUUAAGAUAUAUUUUAAUUAAUUGAUUGCCUGUUUUUAUGUUCUUUGUAGGCUGUGCUAGUUUUAUGAUGUUAGCUGCCCUGAGCCCAGCUCUGGCCGGGGAGGGCGGGGUACAAAUAAAUUAUUAUUAUCAUCAUCAACCAAAGGCCUGGUUAAAAAGGAACAUUUUUGCCUGGCGCCUAAAGUUGUAUAAUGAAGGCGCCAGGUGAACUUCACUGGGGAGAGCGUUCCACAAACAAGGAGCCACUGCAAAGAAGGCCCCGUUCUCGUGUUGCCACCCUCCGGACCUCUUGGAAAUGUCGUCCAACCCCCUGCAAUGCAGGAAUGAGAGCAGAACCCACCCACCCCCCUGAAAUAUGGCUAUCCGACCUGUUAAAAAAUAUUCCAAGGAAGGAGAGUCCACAACCUCCCGAGGGAGUCUGUUCCACUGCCCAAUGUCUCCUACCAUCAGAAGGUUUUUCCUGAUUUUGGGUCGGAAUCUCCUUUCUCCUUUCCCGUCCUUUGAAUUCAUUAGUUCAAGUCCGACCCUCUGGAGCAGCAGAAAAUAAGCUUGCUCCACCUCACCCUCAAGGUAUGUAAGAAGUUGGAAUAAUCUGUUGUGUUCAACCAGAGGAAAGUCAUUGUUAACAUUUACUAAAGAUUGGAAAACCCUUAUAGAUUUUUUGCGCGAAGAAAAGUGAACCGACUUCAGGCUGGAGAUAAUGUUGGUUUACAUAAAGUGGUUUUGUUAGGUGUAAUAGCGGAGUGGGUGGGUUUAAUAACGUUUAUAAAUAGCUGAUAGACCAGGAAUCUGAAGUUGUUUAUUUUCCUUUAUUUAAUUCCCCCCCCCUUAUUUCUUCUCUAUUUUCCUCUUUCCUCUCUACAAUGGUUGGUUCUCGAACUUACCGUAUUUUUUGCUCUGCAAGACUCACUUUUUCCCUCCUAAAAAGUAAGGGGAAAUGUGUGUGCGUCUUAUGGAGCGAAUGCAGGCUGCGCAGCUAUCCAGAAGCCAGAACAGCAAGAGGGAUCGCUGCUUUCACUGCGAUCCCUCUUGCUGUUCUGGCUUCUGAGAUUCAGAUUUUUUUUUCUUGUUUUCCUCCUCCAAAAACUAGGUGCAUCUUGUGGUCUGGUGUGUCUUAUAGAGCGAAAAAUAUGGUAAUCUGUUCCGGGAGUCCGUUCGACUCCCUAAACCAUUCGAAAACCAAGGCGCGGCUUCUGAUUGGCUGCAGGAACUUCCUGAACUCAAACGGAAGCCGUGUCGGAAAUUCGGCUUCUGAAAAACAUUCGAAAACUGGAACACAUCCAUCCGGAUUUGCGGCGGUCAGGAGCCGAUUUGUCCAGGAGCCAAGCCAUUUGACAACCACUAUAUCUUUCUUUCCUUUUCUUUAUCUCUCUCUCUCUCUCUGGCUUGUGCUUUGAUCUAGAUUAACGUUCUACUUUUGAUGUAUAAAAAAUAUAUUUGAUCAUUUCUUUAUAGCUUUUUCUAAAUCCCAAUUUAUUAAAGGGGGAAAAAUCUGGUGUGGUGGGAGGUAUAAUGAAGGCUUGCUUGGGUAUACGUGCAAAAGACUUCAACAAUAUAAGCAAUCGGAGCCAGUGUAGCGUAGUGGUUAGAGUGUUGGACUAGGACCUGCGAGGUCGAGGGUUCAAAUCCCCACUCAACCACUAAGCUCCACCUUGGACCAGUCACUGCCUCUCAGCCUAACUUACUUCACAGGGUGUAGGGUAAAGGGAUGCGGGUGGCGCUGUGGUCUAAACCACUGAGCCUCUUGGGCUUGCCGAUCGGAAGGUCAGUGGUUCGAAUCCCCACAACUGAGUGAGUUCCCAUUGCUCUGUCCCAGCUCUGGCCAACCUAGCAGUUCGAAAGCACGCCAGUACAAGGAGAUAAAUAGACACCGCUAUGGCAGGAAGGUAAACAGCAUUUCCGUGUGCUCUGGUUUCCAUCACGGUAUCCCAUUGCGCCAGAAGUGGUUUAGUCCUGCUGGUCACAUGGCCCGGAAAGCUGUCUACGGACAAACGCUGGCUUCCUCGACCUGAAAGCAAGAUGAGCGCCGCAACCCCGUAGUUGCCUUGGACUGGACUUAACCAUCCUGGGGUCCUUUACUUUACCUUUACCUACCUCGCAGGGUAGGAUAAAAUGGAGCCGGAAAACUAUGUACGCGCCUUGAAGGAAAAUUGGGAUGUAAAUAAAAUAUAACAAAAUAAAACCUGCAGCAAAGCUUCACGGGGCCUUCUGGCUCCCGAUCAGAGACCUGACUUGGUGGGUCCUGCUGAGAGGAGAACGGGCAUCAUGAAUACAGAUUUAGCUAGAAUUCAGAUUUAGCCCUCUGGUGGGAGGGUGUUCCACAGGGCGGGUGCCACUACCAAGAAGGCCCUCUGCCUGGUUCCCUGUAACUUGGCUUCUCACAGGGAGGGAACCACCAGAAGGCCCUCGGCGCUGGACCUCAGUGUCAGGGCAGAACAAUGGGGAUGGAGACGCUCCUUCAGAUAUAUUGGACCGAGGCCGUUUAGGGCUUUAAAGGUCAGCACCAACACUUUGAACUGUGCUCGGAAACAUACUGGGAGCCAAUGUAGGUCUUUCAAGACCAAUGUUAUGUGGUCUCGGCAGCCGCUCCCAGUCACCAGUCUUGCUGCCGCAUUCUGGAUUAGUUGUAGUUUCUGGGUCACCUUCAAAGGUAGCCCCACAAAGUUACAAAAGUAUAAAAACAGGUUUACCCCAUAUGUGGGUUUACCUAAUGACUGCACUUAGCAGUCCGGGAAGUUCGCAGGAUGAAAGGAAGAUGGAAAAGAGGGAGAGUGGCAGCAUGCCUUGUCCUUUUACCAGGUCUGGAAAGGUCACGCCCAACCACUAGUCACAUGCAAGGAAAGAUGCUCCAGGCCAGGAGGAACAGGAAGUUUCGACUGGCUGGACCAAACAUUCCCUUGCAUGUCCACUCUAGGAAAACAAGGAAUGUUGUACUUGACUGCUCUCAGUGGAUUACAUCCAGCACUCAUCUCUCCUAUAAUUCCACUUCAUGUGGGGUUUAUAAAGGUCCUCUUCCCUGUGCAGUCUUCUUCAGAUUUAAAGAAGCAACUGAAAUUUCAAGAAGCGACCGAAAAGCCAUCAAUUUCUAAUUUAUAACAAACACGGGAAGAAAUAGAGAAGGGUCAUAAAACAAUGAAAUGAGCGUUCCGUGUGAUGGAGGAUACAUGGAACUUUUUAUCCCCGGCAAUAAAGCAAGCAACUUGCCAGGAGAUCUUAGGGCCGUCAAUCACGGGGUUUUAGGUGCUAUUUAAAAAUAAAAUCUCUCCCGCACAGUCUUCCCACAGACUGCUGCUGAUGGUGUGGAGAGGCCAGUUGUCCGAAUUAAAGAGGGAGACACUGUUGAGAACCUUUCCUAUUAAAAGCAAGCCACUGUUUGAUAAAUACAGUAAACCUUUUGGGUUCUGUAGGGUUUUACAGGUGCUCAGAGCACACUGAAAAGAUUAUUUCCAUAAACUCCAGGUAAAUCUAUUAGCUACUAUUAGCUGCUGUUGUACAGGGGGGCGGGAUGGCUAUUGAGCUGAGCUUAGGGAUGGGGGAGCAAUUCAGUUUGCAUUUAAAGGCAAACCUGUUUAAUUUGCACUUUCCAGAACAAACUGGAGCACCAUUCGUUUCAGCCGUUCUUUUCAAAUUUGCACUUCUCUGAAUUUCGCAAUGUAGUCCUCAAGCAGAGUAAUGUGUAAGAAAAUGCAUAUGCAUGGGUAAAGUGUCCACAAAAACAUGCCUCGGUCCAGUAUACCUGAAGGAGCUUCUCCACCCUCAUAGUUCAGCCCAGACACUGAGGUCCAGCGCCGAGGGCCUUCUGGCGGUUCCCUCGCUGCGAGAAGUGAGGUUACAGGGAACCAGGCAGAGGGCCUUCUCGGUAGCAGCGCCCACCCUGUGGAACGCCCUUCCUUCAGAUGUCAAAAAGAAAAACAACUACCAGACUUUUAGAAGACAUCUUAAGGCAGCCCUGUUUAGGGAAGCUUUUAAUGUUUGCUGGAUUACUGUAUUUUACUAUUUUGUCGGAAGCCGCCCAGAGUGGCUGGGGAAGCCCAGCCAGAUGGGCGGGGUAUAAAUAAUAAAUUAUUAUUAUUAUUAUUAUUAUUAUUGGCAAAAAUAAUUUACAGCAGUGCAUUGUAUUUGGGGAAAGUGUUUUGCAAUACAUAUAUAUAUUUGUUUGUUAGGAAAAGUUUGCAUGCAAAAAUUGAAGGGUUCUCACGACGAAAUGUGGAUAAUUUAAGACUUGGAAAGUAAGAAACUUGGAAAACUGAAAAUUGGCCUAUUUGUUCAUCCGUGGCUGAGACUGACAAUAGAAUUGUAGAGUUGGAAGGGACCCCAAGGGUCAUCUAGCCCAACCCCCUGAAACAGCCAGUUAUUUAUUUGGUUCCCCUUUCCCCAAGGAGCUUAGGGAAGCCUAUAGGGUGUCUCCUGCACAUUUUGGUUUUAUUAUAUAUUUUCCAUACUCAUUUUGCAUUUUUAUGUUGUGAACCGCACUGUGAUCUUUGGAGGAAGGGCAGUAGAUAAAUUUAAUAAAUAAUAAAAACAAAACAAUAAUUACAGCAAACUUGUGAGUUGACUGAGGAAGAGUGACUGGGUUGGGGACACCCGAGGAGUUUUAUGGUUGUGCGCAUCAUGUCACGAGCUGCUAGGCUGGCAUGAGACUCCUCCAUGUGGUGAACCACUGAACUACAGGCAAUAGCCUUCCCAGUAAAAAGGUAAAGGUAAAGGACCCCUGGACGGUUAAGUCCAGUCAAAGGCGACUCUGGCGUUGCAGAGCUCAUCUCGCUUUCAGGCCAAGGGAGCCAGCAUUUGUCCGCAGACAGCUUUCCGGGUCAUGGGGCCAGCAGGACUAAACUGCUUCUGGUGCAACGGGACACCGUGAUGGAAACCAGAGCACACGGAAACAUCGUUUACCUUCCCGCCGCAGCAGUACCUAUUUAUCUACUUGCGCUGGCGUGCUUUCGAACUGCUAGGUUGGCAGGACACCGUGACGGAAACCAGAGAGCACAAAAAUGCCGUUUACCUUCCCGCUACAGCGGUACCCAUUUAUCUAAUUGCAGAAGAAGAAGAAGAAGGUGUGUCACACGAAUGCUCCCCGUGUUCCGCCCCGGCUGGAAAGGGGUUAGUUUAAACUCUGGUUUGCUAGCAAAACUGAAUUACCAUGUCACGAAAUGACGCUUGUCCAAAAAGUGUGUCACGAACAUGAGAAGUUUGGAAAGCUCUGCCCUAAGCCAUGAUUUUGCUAGCUGGAAGUGCUCUCUAUGUAUUUGAAAACUUUCCCCAAAAGACUUUUUCCCAAAGUCUGGAUCCUUGCAGGGACAUCUGACUCUGCCGUCUGAGCUGUCAUUUGAUGGGCCUUGAUCUUCAGAGGCAUUCAAUCCAAGCUGGUAGUGGAGCCUCUCUCGGGGGCGGGGGGCGGACUGGCGUCUCCUUCCCUUUGCGAUUCCAUCCAUCUAUCUCCCACGUUGCGCUGACGCCUCCUUUUGUCAAAGCAAUUUCCAUUUGCUCUGUCGGAAGGCAAAGAACUGCCAUCGAAUCAUGGGAGGUUUGUCACUGCGGGUCUAAUUAACAAUCGCGCAGAGGGUUUCUCUGCCUUGACGUAAGAGCAAGAGAAAUGAGGGUGUGCCGAUUUGUUUCCACACACAGAACUGAGCAACCGCUAGGAUCUUGUGAAAAUGUUUGCAGACCGUUUCGGACGCUGCGGAAGUGAGUGUGGCGGGUUGGCUCUUUUGGGAAACGAGAGAGGCACUUCAAGGCCAGGGGAGGGAUGUUUGCCGGGACUUCCCCUUAUAGUUGGUCUUUGACUGGACUUAACCAUCCAGGGGUCCUUUGUUCUUGUUGUCGUUUAGUCGUUUAGUCGUGUCCGACUCUCCGUGACCCCCUGGACCAGAGCACACCAGGCACUCCUGUCUUCCACUGCCUCCCGCAGUUUGGUCAAACUCAUGUUGGUAGCUUCGAGAACACUGUCCAACCAUCUCGUCCUCUGUCGUCCCCUUCUCCUUCUGCCCUCCAUCUUUCCCAGCAUCAGGGUCUUUUCCAGGGAGUCUUGUCUUCUCAUGAGGUGGCCAAAGUCUUGGAGCCUCAGCUUCAGGAUCUGUCCUUCCAGUGAGCACUCAGGGCUGAUUUCCUUCAGAAUGGAGAGGUUUGAUCUUCUUGCAGUCCAUGGGAAUCUCAAGAGUCUCCUCCAGCACCAUCAUUCAAAAGCAUCCAUUCUUCAGCGAUCAGCCUUCUUGAUGGUCCAGCUCUCACUUCCAUACAUUACUACUGGGAAAACCAUAGCUUGAAUUAUACGGACCUUUGUGGGCAAGGUGAUGUCUCUGCUAUGCUUUUUAAGAUGCUGUCUAGGUUUGUCAUUAGGGGUCCUUUACCUUCACCUAUAUGUGAUUGCAGCCUAAGAUGGUGGCCUUCUAGCUAUUCCUGGACUUCACCUCCUGCCAGUCCUAGCCAGGAAUUAUGGGAGUUGGAGUCCAGGAACAUCCAGAGGGCUUCAGUUUCCCCAUCCGUCCCUGGCCUAAGCUUUAGCUUUCAACUCAGCACAGCCCCUAGGGAAUCCCUGACCCGCUAGGAUCCUUAAUUCACACAGGAAGCUGCUCUGUAUCCAUCAAACUCAUUAUUGUCUAUCCUGAUUGAUGCUAACUUUUUUUAAAAAAAUCCUUUAUUAUUUUAUUCACAUAAUAUACAUUCUUUACAACAAACAACUCCAAAAUAAACAGACAACUCCAAAAUAGCUUCUUGGGGUCUCAGUUGCUAAUACAACCCAUCUGAUCCUUUAGUCUUUGCGUGAGCUAAAAGUCCCCCACACCAAGUCCAUUUCCCCCUGCUUUCCAACCCACUAUCUGGUCCAGAUCUCUUUCCUUAGUCUCCAGGGACGCGGGUGGCACUGUGUUCUAAACCACCGAGCCUCCUAGGCUUACCAAUUGGAAGGUCAGUGGUUUGAAUCCCCGCGACGGGGUGAGCUCCUGUUGCUCAGUCCCAGCUCCUGCCAAUCUAGCAGUUCGAAAGCACACCAGUGCAAGUAGAUCAAUAGGUACCACUGUGGCAGGAAAAUAAAUGGUUUUCAUGCACUCUGGCUUCCAUCACGGUGUCCCGUUGCGCCAGAAGUGGUUUCGUCCUGCUGGCCACAUGACCUGGAAAGCUGCCUGUGGAUAAACGCUGGUUCCCUCGGCCUGAAAGUGAGAUGAGCGCUGCAACCCCAUAGUCUCCUCUAACUGGACUUAACCAUCCAGGGGUCCUUUGUUGUUGUUGUUUAGUCGUUUAGUUGUGUCUGACUCUUCGUGACCCCAUGGACCAGAGCACGCCAGGCACUCCUGUCUUCCACUGCCUCCCGCAGUUUGGUCAAACUCAUGCUGGUAGCUUCGAGAACACUAUCCAACCAUCUCGUCCUCUGUCGUCCCCUUCUCCUUGUGCCCUCCAUCUUUCCCAGCAUCAGGGUCUUUUCCAGGGAGUCUUCUCUUCUCAUGAGGUGGCCAAAGUCUUGGAGCCUCAGCUUCAGGAUCUUCCAGUGAGCACUCAGGGCUGAUUUCCUUCAGAAUGGAGAGGUUUGAUCUUCUUGCAGUCCAUGGGACUCUCAAGAGUCUCCUCCAGCACCAGAAUUCAAAAGCAUCCAUUCUUCAGCGAUCAGCCUUCUUGAUGGUCCAGCUUUCACUUCCAUACAUACCAGGUGUCCUUUACCUUAUACCUUUACCUUAGCCUCCAUCACUUCUGGAAUCUCUUCCCCUCUACCUUCCUGCACUACUAACAUUUCCUGCCACCAACAUGUACAGUAGCUCCUCUCAUGUCUAGGUGUGUGAGGUUUACCAGCCAAACUGACCAUUUCCUUCCCUCACAGGAGCUAAACUACAAUCAGGAGCUGCCUGAGCUAGGAACAUAGAACCCACCAAUUUAUGUGCUGCUGCCCUAAGUGGUAAAACAGUAACACUACAGAUUAGAACAUUCCCACCGCCCAGAGCGGUAUAUAAUAGAUUAUAUAUCGUUUUAAUUCCACAUCCCUUUUUCCUUGUUUCUUAGGGACUUUUGUUUUAAUUGAUUGUAGAUAUACAGCCCUGCAAGUUCUUUUUAGCUGAGGAGUAAUGGAAAGGGGGAGCUCCAGUUCAAUAAAUAAAAUAUCAGCAUGAUCUGCCUCUAGGGACAGAGGAGGAAUGUGAUUCGGUGUAUCUGCCGUAUUUGAAUCUACCUUUCCAAACACACGCAAAAACCGAAACACAGUCAUCCUUCACACUUCUCCACAUUUUGAAAUGUGGCUCUCCGGCUAAGUAAAGUGUGCAUAAAAAUGCAUUGAUUGGUGACAAAAGAGCAUAAAGUACAUUAUUGUUAUUUUGUAUAUUUUUUCUUUCUUUUCAAGUAUAAUAUCUAGGUAAAGAAUAAUAAAGACGUCUUCAGCAGUACAGAUAUGUGUCAUUUUUGAAUCUGUAACAGUUAUUUCAAAGGUUGAUGUAUAUACAGUGGUACCUCGGGUUAAGAACUUAAUUUGUUCUGGAGGCCCGUUCUUAACCUCAAACUGUUCUUAACCUGAGGUACCACUUUAGCUAAUGGGGUCUCCCGCUGCCGCCGUGCGAUUUCUGUUCUCAUCCUGAGGUAAAGUUCUUAACUUGAGGUACUAUUUCUGGGUUAGCGGAGUCUGUAACCGGAAGCGUCUGUAAACCGAGGUACCACCGAACAAUGCAUCCAGUAACAAUAGAACAAAUUACUAUUUACCCUCCUCCCAAAAGAAGACAUAAAAUGUAUUAUAUUAGGGGAAAUUGCUCUGGGAGGGUGGAAUGCGUUCAUUGGGCAAAUUUUCAUACAAACAUGUAUACUAAGAUAAAUUUUCACUAAACUGCUGGUGAAUUUUCAUGAAGUUUCAUGAAGUUUUAUUAACACACCAAAACACCCCAAAACUGAUGUGAACUGAACUUACAAUUGGGAAAAUGAGAAACAGGGAGAAAACUUGCACAUUCACCAAUCCCUAUACAGUGGUACCUCUGGAUACAUACGCUUCAGGUUACAGACGCUUCAGGUUACAGACUCCGCUAACCCAGAAAUAUUGCUUCAGGUUAAGAACUUUGUUUCAGGAUGAGAACAGAAAUCGGGCAGUGGUGGCAGAAGCGGGAGGCCCCAUUAGCUAAAGUGGUGCUUCAGGUUGAGAACAGUUUCAGGUUAAGUACGGACCUCCGGAACGAAUUAAGUACUUAACCUGAGGUACCACUGUACCAGAAAUCUCUCCCUAUCUGAGGAGCUCGGUCAUACGGUUGUGAGGAAUUCUUCGCCCAAAAAACUCUUCCCACAAGUCUCGCUUUACGUUGUUGUCGCUCCUGCAUUUUUCUCUCCAUUCAGUCCCUUUUCUCUUUCCGUUCCUCUCUUUCCUGACUCGUUUCCUUUUAAAAAAUUGCAUAAUUAAUCAGUCGUAAUAAGACAUCUCUUGAGGGGAGAGGUUAUGGGGUGGGGGUUGAAACUGCCACAUUCUCCAGCGAGCGCAGGAGACAAGAUUUAACAGAGUGUGCCAAAAUUGGCUAAACAGCGCCAGAAAGGAUUAGCUAAAAUAACAAAAUAAAACAGAAAAAAUCCACCUCUUUGGAAUAUAUAACUUCUUUACAAGAGAGCUGCUGUUACAUAGCUCAGAGUUCGCCAAAAAGCCUUGGAGACAGGCCAGGAAACAGAUUAGGGGUGGAAUGAGAUUCUACACCGAAUGUUUUACCUCUGCUUUGUCCAGAGCUGUGCUGUUGUCGCUCCCUGCCCUUGCCCCUUGUUAACGGGAAAAUCCAAGGGCUCCCUUGGACAAAAACAAAGACACCAACCAGGAUAAUUUGGAGCAAAACAGCAGCCUAUAGGCUUGGCCUUUAUUGAACUGUUGCAACAGGGUGCUCCCCUCACUUGCAGGAGAGAGGAAGGACCCAGAAAGAUGGUGUGCAAGACCUUAUAAAAACUUUUGAAAUUGCCACCCUGUAGAUCAAGACCACCCCCAGAAACAUCAUACAUACAUCACAGAAGGGGUGUAACCUAAGACCACCUCCCCCAGAUACAUCACACCUGCAUCACAGAAAAGGCGGUCUAAAACAGAAAUUUGAAUACUGUUUUUCUCCUGUUGUUGUUUAUCUCCUGUCUGGCAGGUUACUUGAUUGGAUUGCCUGGGGAGCCUGGCCAGUCUUUUGUAAUGAUAAAUACUUAGUUCCUGGGCCAGGUCACAGGCUCACACCCUAUUCAAACACAGACAUACCCUUAAGACAGGAUUUGUGAAGGAAAAGACAAUCGGGAGGCUUUUCCAGUUUGACCUUGCAGAGAAAACAUUGGCUCAGUUUAGGAAUCAAAAUGGUUCCAGGUUGGCCUUCCUGUGCUGAUCUAUGUAUGUGCUUGAUUGGUAUAGUUAUGAACAUUACCAUAUAUCUAAUGGACUCAAGGGCAACCUGAUCAAAUUUGCAGAUGACACCAAACUGGGAGGGGUGGCUAACACCCCAGAGGACAGGAUCACACUUCAAAACGACCUUGACAGAUUAGAGAACUGGGCCAAAACAAACAAGAUGAAUUUUAACAGGGAGAAAUGUAAAGUAUUGCACUUGGGCAAAAAAAAUGAGAGGCACAAAUACAAGAUGGCUGACACCUGGCUUGAGAGCAGUACAUGUGAAAAGGAUCUAGGAGUCUUGGUUGACCACAAACUUGACAUGAGCCAACAGUGUGACGCGUCAGCUAAAAAAGCCAAUGCAAUUCUGGGCUGCAUCAAUAGGAGUAUAGCAUCUAGAUCAAGGGAAGUAAUAGUGCCACUGUAUUCUGCUCUGGUCAGACCUCACCUGGAGUCCAGUUCUGGGCACCACAGUUCAAGAAGGACACUGACAAACUGGAAGGUAUCCAAAGGAGGGCAACCAAAAUGGUCAAAGGCCUGGAAACGAUGCCUUAUGAGGAACGGCUAAGGGAGCUGGGCAUGUUUAGCCUGGAGAAGAGGAGGUUAAGGGGUGAUAUGAUAGCCAUGUUCAAAUAUAUCAAAGGAUGUCACAUAGAGGAGGGAGAAAGGUUGUUUUCUGCUGCUCCAGAGAAGUGGACACGGAGCAAUGGAUCCAAACUACAAGAAAGAAGAUUCCACCUAAACAUUAGGAAGAACUUCCUGACAGUAAGAGCUGUUUGACAGUGGAAUUUGCUGCCAAGGAGUGUGGUGGAGUCUCCUUCUUUGGAGGUCUUUAAGCAGAGGCUUGACAACCAUAUGUCAGGAGUGCUCUGAUGGUGUUUCCUGCUUGGCAGGGGGUUGGACUCAAUGGCCCUUGUGGUCUCUUCCAACUCUAUGAUUCUAUGAUUCUAUGAUUCUAAGACCAUAAAAUUCCUAUCACACCCUCGUGAUCGAACAUCUCCAUUUGCAGACGAGAAAUCAAGAGUGGGGGGAACUUCAGAGGCUGGGGAAAACAACCAGUUGCGCUGCUGAUUCAGCCUCUAUUUGGCAAGCAGCAGCCAUUUCUCUCCCAGAAUGCUUCUUGGAAUAACAAAGCAGCGAAAACGGAUCCCUGAAACCGGGGGCUGAUUUGGUGAAUGGACAUGAAAAUUUGCUGAGAUUUUGGAGCGCGGCUGUAGUCCUUGUUGCACUCAAAGGGAUGCCCUCAGAUUCCUGGGUGUACUCUUUAGUGAAAAAGGGCAGAGGGACUUCUCGGUGGUGGCGCCCGCCCUGUGGAAUGCCCUCCCGUCAGAUAUCAAGGAAAUAAACAACUAUCUGACUUUUAGAAGACCUCUGAAGGCAGCCCUGUUUAGGGAAGUUUUUAAUGUUUGAUAUUUUAUCACCUCUUCUUCUUCUUCUUCUUCUUCUUCUUCUUCUGCUGCUGCUGCUGCUGCUGUUGGGAACUGCCUGGAGUCCAGGCUGGGGAAACCCAGCCAGAUGGGUGGGGUAUAAAUAAAUUAUUAUUAUUAUUAUUAUUAUUAUUAGUCUCUUAGAAGUGUCAUAUGGAGGCACUGAAAGUCAGGGAACAGAAAACCAUAGGGACAUUGUUGAAGUGCCAUUAUUAAUUAAUUAAUUAAUUAAUUAAUUAAAUUUGCAUACCGCCCUAUACCCUUGGGUCUUAGGGCAGUUGACAAAACAAAGUUACAAUAUGAAAAUACCAAAAUACAUAAUAAAAAUAAUUAGAAUGGUUAACAAUACCAAAGAAUACAAACCCAUAAAAAUACACACACACACCCAACAAAAGCCCCUCCGCAAAUACAACCCCCCAGCCCACAAGUACAAAAACAAGAAUCCAAAUUAACAUGCAGUUGUACCUUGGAUCCCAAACGCGUUGUGAGUUGAACAUUUUGGCUGCCGAACGCUGCAAACCUGGAAGUGAGUGUUCCGGUUUGCGAACGUUCUUUGGAACCUGAACGUCCGAUGGAAGCCGUGCCUUGGUUGUCGUACCUUGGAAGUCAAAUGGAAUCCAUUCCAGAAGUCCAUUCGACUUCCUAAACGUUUGGAAACCAAAGCACGGCUUCUGAUUGGCUGCAGGAAGUUCCUGCAGCCAAUUGGAAGCCGAGCCGGACGUUCGGCUUCCAAAAGAACGUUCAUGAACCAGAGCACUCACUUCCAGGUUUUAAUCGUUUGAGAGCCAAGGCGUUCGAGAUCCAAGGUAUGACUGUAUGCCUUUUAAGCGUUCCCCCGCUCGAUACUAUAUGGAAUUGAGUGAUAACCAACCCUGGAAAGCCUUGUCAAGAUCUUAUCGACUAUGAUUACCAUAUUUUUCGCAUCAUAAGACACACCUGACCAUAAGACGCAUCUAGUUUUUAGAGGAGGAAAGGGGGAAAACCCCUUUUUUUGAGGAUCAGCUCAAACUUGUUGAGCUUACUUUGCAAACGGAAAAAAUCCUGUUUUUAUGGGGUUCAACUCACAGUUUUGCAGCUUCUUUAGGAAAGGAAAGGGAGCCGUUUCUACAGUUUCCAGACAGAUAAUCUAAUCAGCCAGUCAUAUGUCGCUGGGGAAACAAACAGCCUCUGUCUGCAGAACAUUCAACAAUGGAGGCCUGGGCAAGGGGCCGGGGCUGGAAAGGGAGCCAGCGAUUGACCACACAUUCGCUCCAUAAGACGCACAGACAUGUCCCCUUACUUUUUAGGAGGAAAAAGGUGCGUCUUAUGGAGCGAAAAAUAUGGUAUUUUCCAGAACUGAGCUCUGCUUUGACCUUGAGUAAGUGACAACUAAAGGAUUGACUUAGAAGGGACCCACAACUAAUUAGAAACACCAGAUUUCCCCCUAGGUAUCCGCUCUUGAGGGCAUUUUAGACCUAGUUAUCUGACCAAACUCCCACCAAACUUCCUUAAGAAAUACCUUUACUGAGCUGUUUUUCCAUGUGACGCCAACCGCAGUCUUAGACGACAACUACAACAAAAUCCCGUACACAGACAGACGUCGUAUUUGCGGUCAACCUGAGGUGGAAGAAAUUACUCAGUAACUGUUUGUUGUUGUUUAGUCGUUUAGUCGUGUCCGACUCUUCAUGACCCCAUGGACCAGAGCACGCCAGGCACUCCUGUCUUCCACUGCCUCCCGCAAUUUGGUCAAACUCAUGCUGGUAGCUUCGCGAACACUAUCCAACCAUCUCGUCCUCUGUCAUCCCCUUCUCCUUGUGCCCUCCAUCUUUCCCAACAUCAGGGUCUUUCCCAGGGUGUCUUCUCUUCUCAUGAGGUGGCCAAAGUAUUGGAGCCUCAGCUUCACUGUUAGUUUGCCCCUUAUAUAGAGAGACCUAGGAGAUCGCUUUCUGAAACCUUUGUACACAAAAGGAAGCAGGUUGCGUCGCAGCAGAAAUGGUCCAGUUUCUUUUGAGUGACAAUAAUCGCUUUGUAACACAGCAAAUGCCCUUCUGUGCACUGGUUGCAAACAAACAAGCAAACGAAGAACAGGAAAAAGGAGUUAGAUAAAAUCAAUGUAAAUAGUUGUGGAGAUUCGGAGAUUUAAUCUGAAAUGAAGCUGGAUUUGAGUUUGUUGGUUUCUCUGAUAACUUUCCCCUUACAUCCUGGAAGUUGGCUCAUAUUAUGGAUGUGUGAUCUGUAUUGUUUUAUUGGCACUGCUGUAGCUGCGGGUUUGUCGCAGGCUUUGGCUAGAAUGAUAAACUUGUAUUGAACUAGUUACAGGUAGGUAGCCAUGUUGGUCUGCCGUAGUCGAAACAAAAUAAAAAGAUUCCUUCCAGUAGCAGCUUAGAGACCAACUAAGUUUGUUAUUGGUAUGAGCUUUCGUGUGCAUGCACACUUCUUCAGAUACACUGAAUAUACUUCUUCAGACACACUGUGUAUCUGUAGAUAUGCUGGAACGAGGCUGUUUAGGGCUUUAAAGGUCAGCACCAACAUUUUGAAUUGUGCUUGGAAACGUACUGGGAGCCAAUGUAGGUCUUUCAGGACCAGUGUUAUGUGGUCUCGACGGCUACUCCCAGUCCCCAGUCUAGCUGCUGCAUUCUGGAUUAGUUGUAGUUUCCAGGUCACCUUCAAAGGUAGCCCCACGUAGAGCGCAUGGCAGUAGUCCAAGCAGGAGAUAACUAGAGCAUGCACCACUCUGGUGAGACAGUCCAUGGGCAGGGAGGGUCUCAGUCUGCAUACCAGGUGGAGCUGGUAGACAGCUGCCCUGGACACAGAACUGACCUGCGCUUCCAUGGACAGCUGUGAGUCCAAAAUGACUCCUAAAUGACAUGUGUCUUCAUCGGCCUUAUCCUGGAGCAUGUUCAGCUCUUCUCUGGUCGGUUUUCAAUAGCUCAAACACCCUGUAAGCUCCUUCUUGAGGAAGCCACAGGCAACUUGUAAGAGGCCAAGAGGCAUAACACUCUAAAUGAGAUCCAAGGGGAAAGAGAGAAUGCUUAUGGCAAACCCCAGAAGUGACAGCAACAUGUUUCCUCCUUCCUCCCAUCCCAGAUUCCGAGAUGCUUCCAGUUUGCUCAUAGCAGAUAUUCUGAUGAGGAUUUGCCUGCCAUCUACCUACAGCAGGGCCAUUUAAAUCAGGGAAUUCCCGAGCGCCAAACGAAGGGGAAAUCUGGGUACAUAUUAUAACCUAAGGAUUAGGAAUUAGCAAUGUCUGCUUGAAAAUUAUCUUUCUCUGACUUUUAUCAUGUGUGGUGGACUUGUGAUAAAGUUAAAGCAUUUGGGGAAUUGAUCUACAAUGAAUUAAAGAAGAUGUUCAGAUAUACUUUCCCCAAAAAUCCGGAAGCAUUUUUGCUAGGCUUGAUGGGAAAUGAUAUUUCAAAGACUAUUUAUGUACGCCACAGUUGCAGCAAGAACUUUGUUGGCCCAAAAAUGGAAAUUACAAUAAAUACCUACCAUUGCGGAGUGGCAGGUGAAGAUGAUGGACUUUGCUGAAUUGGCCAAGCUGACCUGCAGGAUCCAAGACCAGGACAAUAAGAAAUUCCAAAGAGACUGGAGUAAAUCUAUUGUAUAUUUGAAUGAUAAUUGUAAAAAUUUGAAGACACUAGCAGGAUUGAAGUAAAUCCUGCAAUGUAGACAUAUAGUAAAGAGUUAGAUUGCACGAGGAAGGAGGGAAGUCGUAAGCUUGGCAGAGCAAAAAAGGGUUUUUAUGUGGAUCGAUGUAUUGUUGAGAAAGCUGUUUAAAGGAAAAUAUUUUUUUAUAUAAAAAAAAGGAAGAAAAUUAUCUUUCUCUGCUAUUGCCCCACUGUUCCCCUCCAACCGCACCAAAGAUGUAUCCAUUGCUCAAAGGAGAUUGACUGCUCUCUGCUGACUCCAGUGAAGUCAAGCCACUCAUGCUUUCAUCAAGCUAAGCUGGGACAAGCCAUGUGAGGAACAAGUGAGGAAGGUCCAGGCAAGAUGGGCAAAGUCAGGGCCAAAACCCUUACGCAGGAAGGCAAGCAAAAGCAGCACCUUGAACAGCACCCAGCCAUCAAGGUCUGGAUAGGGAACAAGAUCCACACUGGGCAAGGGAUUUGGGGUGGCGCUGUGGGUAAAACCACAGAGCCUAGGACUUGCUGAUCAGAAGGUCGGCAGUUCGAAUCCCUGCGAUGGGGUGAGCUCCCAUUGCUCAGUCCCUGCCCCUGCCAACCUAGCAGUUCAAAAGCACGUCAAAAUGCAAGUAGAUAAAUAGGUCCCGCUCCGGUGGGAAGGUAAACGGCUUUUCUGUGCGCUGCUUUGGUUCGCCAGACGCGGCUUAAUCCUGCUGGCCACAUGACCCGGAAGCUGUUCGCCGGCUCCCUCGGCCAGUAAAGCGAGAUGAGCGCCGCAACCCCAGAGUCGGUCACGACUGGACCUAAUGGUCAGGGGUCCCUUUACCUUUACUAUUCAGAUUUCCGAUUGGGAAAGGUUAUGGAAAAUGGAUUUGAAAUUCACGGCACACACCUCUGGAUGCCGGUAUCUGUCACCCAGCGAGAAUCAGCCCUACGCCUGAGCCGGCCAGCGAGGAAACUCGAAGCCACCUUGCAGCAGUGCGGGACCCGGGCCGUCAAAUGUUAGCGAGUUUUUUGCUCUACCUGCAAUGUAAUUAUACGUGAGAUUAAGUGGGGGGGGUAUACCUUUCAUUUAAUCAACAGCUCAGCUCCGUUCGAAGCCUGUGGCGCACUCCUUUGCUGAAGGCAGGAGCCCCCCCAAAAAAAACAACAACAGGCAUCUGUGUCACCACUCAGAGCUCUUAAUUACUAGCCGUCUCCUGCAGGGUGGGCACAAAGAGGAACAGCCAAGUUUCCUCCCUCUGAGCAAUCCUUUCUUACCUUCUAUGGAGGAGAAGCCAGUAAUGUCAGCCUUAAAAGCAUAAUUCUCCCAUUAGCUUCUAAAACCCAGGGCCCCUGGAACUGUGACAAUUAGAACCAGCGGGCUUUGAUCUCCCAUCAAAGAGCAUGCCCCACACCCAGUGCGACGCUCAGUCAGCCCCUUCCAGUGAAAGAUACCCCUUCUGCUUCCUCCAUGAUGAUUUACUAUUUCUUCUGCACUUCCUACUUUUGAAGUUCACUGUACUUUGGUCUGUUUCCGAUGCCAGACCAACUCAGGGACGACUGCUACUGAAGGGAUGACUGCAGGGACGACUGCAAAUGAGCAUAAUUGUGAUGGCCUGGGAAUCGGAUUCAGAGGCUGAACCUAAGGAAUCCCAGCCUGCACAGGAGUCCCCGCCUCCAGGACCAGCUGAGCCGGGGCUGGGGCAUGAGCCUGAAGGGUCCUCACCUGUGCUGGAUCCUCAGGUGCAGGCACCAGCUAAGUCUGCUCUGGCUCCUGAGGUGAUGGAGGACCCAUUGCCUGCAGGUGCUCCACUCUCAGCCCCAUCAGGGGAAGGUGAGGUUGCCUCUGGGUCCGGUAACACUCCAGCCUUUCCUGAGCUGCAGAGGCUCAGGGCAGAGAGGCGGAGGGAACUACCGAUGUUCCUGCAUAGGGCACUUUUCCCUCCAAAAUGAAGGAAAUGUGUCUGUUGGGCGAUGUAGCUGCUGAUGCCUCGAGCGAGGCAUCGUGCGCCGACUCUCGCUCUCAGGCUCAGGAAGCUAUCCGCAAGCCUUGCAAGCCCGGUGGGAGUUCCACGCUCACAAGGCUUGCAGGCAGCAGCCUGCAGCCCGGCAGUGUCCGCAGCCUCGGCAGGAGGUCCGCCGGCAGCGAGGUGGCAGCAGCUGUCGCAGCACGGGGCCUCCGGAGGCUCCCGUGCUUCAGCGUGCCGCACUGCGCCCAGCAGGAGGUCCCGCCCGGCGCGCAGGCUGGGCGGCAGCAUGUCGCGAGCACGGGAGCCUCCGAGGGCUCCCGUGCGGAGUGUCUGCGCUGCCCGGCAGGAGGUCCCGCCCGGCGCGCAAGGCUUGGGGCUGCAGCUUGUCGCCCGAAGCACGGGAGCCCUCCGGAGGGCUCCCGUGCUCGGGCGAGUGUCCGCAAGCCUUGCGCGCCCGGCAGGAGGUCCCGCCCGGCGCGCAAGGCUUGGGCUGCAGCCUGUCGCCGAAGCACGGGAGCCCUCCGGAGGGCUCCCGUGCUUCGGGCGAGUGUCCGCAAGCCUUGCGCGCCCGGCAGGAGGUCCCGCCCGGCGCGCAAGGCUUGGGGCUGCAGCUGUCGCCCGAAGCACGGGGAGCCCUCCGGAGGGCUCCCGUGCUUCGGGCGAGUGUCUGCAAGCCUUGCGCGCCCGGCAGGAGGUCCCGCCCGGCGCGCAAGGCUUGGGGCUGCAGCUGUCGCCCGAAGCACGGGAGCCCUCCGGAGGGCUCCCCGUGCUCGGGCGAGUGUCCGCAAGCCUUGCGCGCCCGGCAGGAGGUCCCGCCCGGCGCGCAAGGCUUGGGGCUGCAGCUUGUCGCCCGAGCACGGGAGCCCUCCGGAGGGCUCCCGUGCUUCGGGCGAGUGUCCGCAAGCCUUGCGCGCCCGGCAGGAGGUCCCGCCCGGCGCGCAAGGCUUGGGGCUGCAGCUGUCGCUCGAAGCACGGGAGCCCUCCGGAGGGCUCCCGUGCUCGGCGAGUGUCCGCAAGCCUUGCGCGCCCGGCAGGAGGUCCCGCCCGGCGCGCAAGGCUUGGGCUGCAGCUUGUCGCCCAAGCACGGGAGCCCUCCGGAGGCUCCCGUGCUUCGGGCGAGUGUCCGCAGCCUUGCGCGCCCGGCAGGAGGUCCCGCCCGGCGCGCAAGGCUUGGGGCUGCAGCUUGUCGCCCGAAGCACGGGAGCCCUCCGAGGGCUCCCUGCUUCGGGCGAGUGUCCGCAAGCCUUGCGCGCCCGACAGGAGGUCCCGCCCGGCGCGCAAGGCUUGGGGCUGCAGCUGUCGCCGAAGCACGGGGAGCCCUCCGGAGGGCUCCCGUGCUUCGGGCGAGUGUCUGCAAGCCUUGCGCGCCUGGCAGGAGGUCCGCCGGCGCCAGGCAUGCGGCUGCUCUGUCGCCCGAGGUGAGCCCUCGGAGGCUCCCCGUGCUCGGCAGGUGCUCCAGCCUCGCAGCGCCCGUGGAGGUCCCGCCGGCGCGAGGCUGGGAGGUAGCCUGCCGCCCGGUCACGCGAGGCCUGGCGGCAGCCGCGGGGGGAUAAUUUUUUCAUUGCCCCAAAGAGGUGCGUCCAGGACCGGUCAGUCAUAGAGCGAAGAUACGGUAAGUUCCUGCAGGAGGAGGGCUCGCCUCCAGGCCAGGAGAGGUGAGUCACCUGUGGACCGGGGCCGCCCUAUGCCUCGGGGCAGAUAAAAGCCAGCCAGCCCAGGCGCAGGUUGCAGUAACCUGUUCCUGCCGGCACCCUGUCCUGCUCUUCUGCCAGAGCUCCUGACCUCACCCGACUCCUUGCCUUGGACCCCGCUUCAGCCUUGACGGACAGCCUCUAUACCACACCCUCAACCUCAGACUGGACUCGGACCACGCCGCAAGGUAACCCCCUGGGACCAGCACAAUAAUGGUCACAAAUCCAAUGCAUAAUAAUAAUAAUUAAUAAUUGCUCCUCCGCUUUCCUUUCAAGAUGGCUGCGCUGAGCAAAAUUAUCCCAUUUCUGAAAAAUGCAUGGGGAAAGGAUCUAGUUGUCGUUCUCUCUUUCGGCAUUGGUUUUAUGGCUUUGGUGGCACUGUGGGUCAGUCCCUUAACAAAAUACAGCGCCAUGAUGACCCAGGCUGUACCAUAUACUGUAUUUUUCACUCUAUGAUGCACCAGACUAUAAGACACACCUAGUUUUUGGAGGAGGAAAACAAGAAAAAAAUAUUCUGAAUCUCAGAAGCCAGAACAGCAAGAGGGAUCGCUGUGCAGUGAAAGCUGUUCUGGCUUCUGGGAUAGCUGCGCAGCCUGCAUUCGCUCCGUAAGACGCACACACAUUUCCCCUUACUUUUUAGGAGGGGAAAAGUGAGUCUUAUAGAGCAAAAAAUACAGUACAUAUCCAGCUCCAGUUUGGGAUGAUGGCAAUAUGCCAGGUAUUCCCUCCCACAUUUGUGACAAGGAAGGACCAAGUCUUGAAUGGCUAAAGAACUUCUGAGACGGACCCUUGUGAUGAAGAGGCCUAGAGAACCAACACUGAAGGGACAACCCGGGCCUGCACUGCUCUCUGCUCUUUUGUGUACAUGUGUAACAUUUUCAGGAUAUAAUAAACUUGCUAACUUAAAAAACAAUAAUAAUUUAUUAUUUGUACCCACCUCUAUUUGUACCCACCUCUUACAAAAUUAUUAUUUGUAAUCCACCUCUAUCCUUUGCAUCUGUUAGUAUUUUAAAUUUUAUUCUAGGCUUCUUGCCCUGCCAGACAAAUCUAGAAAUAUCUCUCUGCCACCUCUUGAAACAGUCCAUUUUGUCCACAAUUUGCAAUGUUUGAAACAAAAACAACAUUCUAGGCAAUACAUUCAUUUUUACAGCAGCAAUACGACCCAGCAGUGAAAGCUUCAAGUUUGACCAAAUUUCUAAGUCUUUUUUCACUUCAGCCCAACAUCUUUCAUAGUUAUCUUUGAAUAAAUUCCCAUUUUUUGCUGUCAAGUUAAUCCAGAGAAUAUUGAGAAGCAAAGUGGCUAGUAAGCCUGAUAUUUAUUAAAGGAAAUAAACUGUUGCAACAGGGUCACCAUUCACCAUAUGCAGGAGGGAGAGAACAACAACAACAACAACAACAACAACAACAACAACAACAACAACAAUUUAUUAUUUGUACCCCACCCAUCUGGCUGGGUUUCCCCAGCCACUCUGGGCGGCUUCCAACAAAGAUUAAAAAUACAUUAAAAUGCCACACAUUAAAAACUUCCCUGAACAGGGCUGCCUUCAGAUGUCUUCUAAAUGUCAGGUAGUUGUUUAUUUCCUUGACAUCUAGUGGGAGGGAAUUCCACAGGGCGGGCGCCACCACCAAGAAGGCCCCCUGCCUGGUUCCCUGUAGCUUUGCUUCUCGCAGUGAGGGAACCACCAGAAGGCCCUCGGCGCUGGACCUCAGCAUCCGGGCAGAACGAGGGGGGUGGAGACUCUCCUCAUUCAUGAUUGCCACUAUCUAUAAGAGAUCCAGUUGCAGCAGACUUAACUUAAACUUACAAGAACUUAUAAUAAGUCUAAACCUUGACACUAUAGCACACCAUGCACAAAACACCACACCAGAAGGAAAAGAGAUAGAAAGAGAAAGUGAACCCCAGGCUCCUUCUGGCCUUACUUUUAUAGUCAGUGUGACCUUGACAGAAGAGAUAACAGAACCAGUUUAAACCAGCUGUACUCAGCUUCUCGGAAGGAAUAACCCAAACAUCAUGAACUUUCUUCUUGUUUCUUUCACACAGAGGAGCUUCCAGAACCCUCUUGAAUUAAGUAGGAAAGAUCUCUACACAUCACAUCAAUACUUUCUGCACUAAAAAUGCAAACGAACACAGUGAUGGGCAUGGGGGCGGAUCUCAGAUUUCAGUGGUGGUUGGUGCAAUGCUAAAAUUUGGCACAUCCUGUCUCUCACACUCUGUUUUAAAUAAUACUUGGGGUGUCCCCAGCAGCACCCCUGAGGCUCUGCGCCAGUGCGACUGAACCAGUCACGCUCCCCUAAAUCCACCUCUGAUUAGAAAAAUUCACGGAGGAGAGGGUUAUCGAAGGCUGCUGGCCCUUCACAGUGUUGUAAACAAAAUCUGCCCCUUUUCCCUUAUAGGGUAUCCAAGAGCCCAUAUAGAGUCCUUACGUGGGUUCCCUAUUGGUAGGAGAAAAUAACAGAGGCCAACCAGAGAAUAUUGAGAAGCAAAGCAGCUCGUAAGCCUGAUCAUUAUUGAUCUGUUGCAACAGGGUGCUCCCCUCACACGCAGGAGAGAGGAGGACCCCGAAGAAAGGUGUGCCCACCCUUAUAUAGACAUUUUAAAUUCUCUGCCUUGGAACUCAAGACCACCCCUCCAUACAUCAUACCUACAUCACAGAAGGGGUAUAGCUCAAGACCAUCACCCCCAGAUACAUCUUACCUACAUCACAGAAAAGGCAGUCUACAACAGAAAUCUGAGUGUGUUGUUUAACUCUUGUCUGGCAGGUUCUCUGAUAAUGCCUUAUCGGAUUGCCUGGUUAUUACCCGCUUCCUGAGACAAUGGGAAAGUUUCCUUACCCCCUCCUUGCAGAGAAAACAUUUGGUCAGUUUGGGAGUCAAAAUGGUUUCAGGAAUGUCUUCCUGUGCUGCUCCAGACAUUGGUACAUUUAUGAACAUUUAUUAUAUAUAUAUAUAUGACCUUAAAAUUCUUAUAACAAUUGCAAGAGGAAGCAAUUCUUCUGACUCCCAGUUGCUGGAAACCACAGGAAGGGAGAAAGCAAAGCUCCCCUUCCUCUCUCAUCAGAGAAGAGGGGGCGUGACUUAGCUGAGUCUAGGAAUUCAGCCCUAUGACCUUAACUCUUCCGUGCACUUACUAACCCUGUGCUUGCUAGUUGUAUUUGACUGCAGUUUCCUGCACAAAUAGUGUUUAAUGGGGAUUCACAGGUGGGUCGAAUGACGUGCACAGGGGACCUGCUUUUUCACUCCCCACAGGAAUCUGGUUGGCCCCUGGGCUAGAUGUGCCACCGGCCUGAUCCAGCAACUGCUCUUACAUUGCCAGCCACCAUUCUCAGUCUGCCGGCAAUGCUGGAGCCUCUAUUCUGGGCCUCUCUGUUAUGCUCUGUUAUUUAUUUAAAAGAUUUAUAAGCUGCCCUUCCUCGGGACAGAUACCAGAACAUUUGCACAACAUACAGAUAAGCAGCAAUCGCACACAGAACCAAGAACAAACAAACAGAGGAAAUCGUCGGGAACGGUUGGAGUUUGCAAAGCAGUAGAAGCUUGAAAUGCUCGUGCCCGGAAUUAUUUUUUCAGCCCCCUAAUUUAUCGGGGGACGCGGGUGGCGCUGUGGGUUAAACCACAGAGCUUAGGACUUGCCAAUCAGAACGUCGGCGGUUCGAAUCCCCACGACGGGGUGAGCUCCUGUUGCUCAGUCCCUGCUCCUGCCCACCUAGCAGCUCGAAAGCACGUCAAAGUGCAAGUAGAUAAAUAGGCAACCCUCCGGCGGGAAGGUAAACGGUGUUUCCGUGCACUGCUCUGGUUCCCCAGAAGCAGCUUAGUCAUGCUGGCCACAUGACCCGGAAGCUGUACGCCAGCUCCCUCGGCCAAUAAAGCGAGAUGAGCGCCGCAACCCCAGAGUCGGCCACGACUGGACCUAAUGGUCAGGGGUCCCUUUACCUUUACCUAAUUUAUGGGGAAAGUUGUGAUUUGCUGUUGCUGCUGUUAAACUUUUGAGAGUCAGAAGCUCUCACCAAUCUGCCCCAAAAACAGUGGCUGAGCACCGCUCCCGCCACAAGCAGGAUAUCGCCUGCGGUGUGUCAGAAGCCCCCAGGACAGGGAGUGCUGUGGCAGGUCAGGAUUGCACCCUGCAAUUAGUAACGAAAGCACCUCGCAGAAAUUGCUCCUGGUAAACGCCAGAUUUAUUUUCUCCCCUUUGGUGUUGCGGAGCAGCUAUUUUUAAAAUAUAGAUUCAGAGAGAGAGAGAUCUGUAUCUCUAUAUCUGUGCACGCAGAUAAUUAUAUCUAGUCCACGAUGAUGAAAAGGUAUUUAGAUGCUUUGAGGAAGGAGGAUUUGAAGUUCUAAAUCUUCAGAAGAUAGCAUCACUGCCGGGGCUUGCCAGGGGAGUCGACUUCUGUCACAUGCGCCGAGAGAUAAACAGGUUACUGAGCGCCAAAGAUUAAAGGCUCUUUGCAGGGGGCUUCGCACUCAGUCAUGAACUUACCUCGGACUCAAAGGGCAGUGACCAGUGCAAACCCCAGUCUGCUCCCUUCCCUCAUCCUCCCUGCAUCUGCUUGCUCCUUCUACCUGCGUAGUGUUACCGGAAAAAUCCGAGGGCUCCCUUGGACAAAAACAAAGACACCAACCAGGAUAACUUGGAGCAAAACAGCAGCCUGUAGGCUUGGCCUUUAUUGAACUGUUGCAACAGGGUGUUCCCCUCACUUGCAGGAGAGAGGAAAGACCCAGAAAGAUGGUGUGCAAGACCUUAUAAAAACUUUUGAAAUUCCCAUCCUCUAGGUCAAGCCCACCCCCAGAAACAUCAUGCAUACAUUACAGAAAGGAGGGGUUGACAUCAUGCAUACAUUACAGAAAGGAGGGGUUGAGGGAGGAGUUGUGGUGGUAACCUGAGUGUCCUGUCACCUGGCUGGUUCCUCCUUUCCCCCUGCCCAUGAGUCACUUCCAGGAGACACUUCCAGGGGAGUUGGCAGUUUCCUGCCCCCAGAGGGAAGAUCUGAUCAUUGUCCUUUCUUUCAGUCCAUGCUGAAUCCACUCCCAUAUGCAAGUUCUUUGUGAUCUUGAUGGUCUUCUGUCUAGGACCAUCAGGGUUGGCAUAGCAACUGGGCAGGGCUCCUGUGGAUGUGCUGGGAUGGUGAAGGGAUUAUGGCUGACCAGAACCAAGCCACCCCCCUUUGAUAGUCCUUGUCAUAUGGAGUAAAAUAAAAAUGGAACAGUGCAAAUCCGAUGUAUGGUUGAUUUUUCUAUGAAUUUAUAACAGAAGUGUGGCAUAUGUAGUGUGUGAGUGUGAGUGUGUGAAGUUUGUACAAACUGAAUCAUUGGGGUGGGGGGGUUCCUGCUACAGUAGGUAGCUGUGUCCUCCAGCAGAGCCAACCCAUUGCUCCUUGUCUUUUUAAUAUCUAUAUGAAGCCGCUGGGAGAGAUCAUCAGAGGGUUUGGGCUGGGUGUUCAUCAGUAUGCAGAUGACACCCAGCUCUACCUCUCCUUUAAAUCAGAACCAGUGAAGGUGGUGAAGGUCCUGUGUGAGUGCCUGGAGGCGGUUGGAGGAUGGAUGGCGGCUAACAGAUUGAGGUUGAAUCCUGACAAGACAAAAGUACUGUUUUGGGGGAAUAGGAGGCGGGCAGGGGGGGGUGCCCUGGUCCUGAAUGGGGUAACUGUGCCCCUGAAGGACCAGGUGUGCAGCCUGGGAGUCAUUGUGGACUCACAGCUGUCCAUGGAGGCACAGGUUAAUUCUGUGUCCAGGGCAGCUGUCUACUAGCUCCAUCUGGUAUGCAGGCUGAGACCCUACCUGCCUGCAGACUGUCUGGCCAGAGUGGUCCAUGCUCUGGUUAUCUCCCGCUUAGACUACUGCAACGCGCUCUACGUGGGUGACCCGGAAACUGCAAUUAAUCCAGAAUGCGGCAGCUAGACUGGUGACUGGGAGUGGCCGCCGGGACCAUAUAACACCGGUCCUGAGAGAUCUGCAUUGGCUCCCAGUACGUUUUCGAGCACAAUUCAAAGUGUUGGUGCUGACCUUUAAAGCCCUAAACAGCCUCGGUCCAGUAUACCUGAAGGAGCGUCUCCACCCCCAUCGUUCAGCCCGGACACUGAGAUCCAGCGCCGAGGGCCUUCUGGCAAUUCCCUCAUUGCGAGAAGUGAGGUUACAGGGAAUCAGACAGAGGGCCUUCUUGGUAGUGGCGCCCGCCCUGUGGAACGCCCUCCCUUCAGAUGUGAAGGAAAUAAGCAGCUAUCCUAUCUUUAAAAGAUUUCUGAAGGCAGCCCUGUUUAGGGAAGUUUUUAAUAUUUAACACUGUACUGUUUUUAACAUUUGAUUGGGAGCCGCCCAGAGUGGCUGGGGAAACUCAGCCAGAUGGGUGGGGUAUAAAUAAUAAAUUAUUAUAAUAUUAUUAUUAUUGUCUUGCUUUGCGGGACAAGAACACCGGUAGUCUGAGCCGACGAGCUCAGUGGGUAGACCAUGAGAAUCUUGAUCUCCGGGUUGUGGGUUCGAGCCCUAAGCUGGGUAAAAGAUUCCUGCGUCUCAGGGGGUUGGGUUAGGUGACUCUCGUGUGCUGUAAAGAAUUCUAAGGUCUCAAAUACAAAAUCAAAUGUUCAUACAUAUACCAGGCAAACACAUACAUGAGUAUAUAAACCAUGUGUCUGAAACAGUACAGUGGUACCUCGGGUUAAGUACUUAAUUCGUUCCAGAGGUUCGUUCUUAGCCUGAAACUGUUCUUAACCUGAAGCACCACUUUAGCCAAUGGGGCUUCCUGUUGCCGCCGCACCGCCGUUGUGCGAUUUCUGUUCUCAGCCUGAAGCAAAGUUCUUAACCUGAGGUAAUAUUUCUGGGUUAGCGGAGUCUGUAACCUGAAGCAUCUGUAACCUGAGGCCUAUGUAACCUGAGAUACCACUGUAAAGGUAAAGGUAAAGGUAAAGGGAUCCCUGACCAUUAGGUCCAGUCGUGGCCGACUCUGGGAUUGCGGCGCUCAUCUCGCUUUACUGACCGAGGGAGCCGGCGUUUGUCCGCAGACAGUUUUUCCGGGUCAUGUGGCUAGCAUGACUAAGCCACUUCUGGCGAACCAGAGAAGUGCACGGAAACGCCAUUUACCUUCCACUUUGACGUGCUUUCGAACUCCUAGGUUGGCAGGAGCAGGGACCGAGCAACGGGAGCUCACCCCAUCGCAGGGAUUCGAACCGCCGACCUUCUGAUUGGCAAGCCCUAGGCUCUGUGGUUUAACCCACAGCGCCACCCGCGUCCCAUGUCUGAAAUAGUACAGGAGAGCCAUUUUGACUCUCCCAAAUUGACCUCAAAUAUUUCUCUGCAAGGAGGAAGGAAAUGAGAAAGCCUCUCCAUUGUCUUUUGCUUACAAAUCCUUUCAUGAUAAUAAUAAUAAUAGUAAUAAUAAUAAUAAUAAAUAAUUUUAUUUAUACCCUGCCCUCCCCGGCCAAAACCCGGCUCAGAGUGGCUAACAUCAGCUAUAUAACAUAUCAACAUAAAAUCAAGCAAUCAAUUAAAAUACAUCAAAUCAGGAUCAAAGUGAAAUCCAAUCACAUGGCAACCCGCAGAUUAGGGUUGGGGACAUUAAAUGCUCAGCAGGCCUAGCUGUUUAUGAGCCUGUGAGAAAAAUUAGGGGGCCAUUUUCAUGUAAGUUUUUAUAAGGAGAGAGGGUGGAGUCAGGCGUAUUUGUGGGCGUAUUUGUAUAUGAAUAGGGUGAGCCUGUGACCUGGAUUCAGGAAAUAAAAGUAUUUACCAUCACAAAAGAACGGCCAGGCUGCCCAGGUAAAGCAAUCAGUGACCGUUAUCAGGUAUCCUGGCAAACAGGAUUUCUGCUGCAGACCGCCUCCUUCUGUGAUGCAUGUAUGAUGUUUUUUUUGGGGGGUGUCUUGGGCUACAGGUUUGGCGAUCUCAAAAGUCUAUAUAAGGGCUUGUGCACCGUUGCUCAGAGUUCUCCGAGCACAAUUCAAAGUGUCGGUGUUGACCUUUAAAGCCCUAAACGGCCUCGGCCCAAUAUACCUGAAGGAGCGCCUCCACCCCCAUCGUCCAGCGCUGAGGUCCAGCGCUGAGGGCCUUCUGGCGGUUCCCUCACUGCGAGAAGCAAAGCUACAGGGAACCAGGCAGAGGGCCUUCUUGGUAGUGGCGCCCGUCCUGUGGAACGCCCUCCCAUCAGAUGUCAAAGAGAUAAAGAACUACCUGUCAUUUUAGAAGACAUCUGAAGGCAGCCCUUUUCAGGGAAGUUUUUAAUGUGUGGCAUUUUAAUGUAUUUUUCAUCUUUGUUGGAAGCCGCCCAGAGUGGCUGGGGAGACCCAGCCAGAUGGGUGGGGUACAAAUAAUAAAUUGUUGUUGUUGUUGUUGUUGUUGUUGUUGUUGUUGUUGUUGUUGUUGUUCUCUCCCUCCUGCAUAUGGUGAAUGGUGACCCUGUUGCAACAGUUUAUUUCCUUUAAUAAAUAUCAGGCUUACUAGCCACUUUGCUUCUCAAUAUUCUCUGGUUGGCCUCUGUUAUUUUCUCCUACCAAUAGGGAACCCACUUAAGGACUCUAUACGGGCUCCUGGAUACCCCAUAAGAGAGAGGGAGGAGUUUUUCCCCCUUAUAACACAUGGCCACUUCCAGCUUUCUAUGGUUCUAUGUCCAUGCCGCAUAUUUAAAAUGCAUAGGUUCCCCCAGAGAAGCCCAGGAAAUGCAGAUUCGUAGAAUCAUGACCCCUGACCAUUAGGUCCAGUCGUGACCGACUCUGGGGUUGCGGCGCUCAUCUCGCUUUACUGGCCAAGGGAACCAGUGUACAGCUUCCAGGUCAUGUGGCCAGCAUGACUAAGCCGCUUCUGGCGAACCAGAGCAGCGCACGGAAACACCUUUUACAUUCACGCCGGAGCGGUACCUAUUUAUCUACUUGCACUUUGACGUGCUUUCGAACUCCUAGGUUGGCAGGAGCAGGGACUGAGCAACGGGAGCUCACCCCGUCACAGGGAUUCGAACCACCAGCCUUCUGAUCGGCAAGUCCAAGGCUCUGUGGUUUAACCCACAGCACCACCUGCAUCCCUUGUUCGUAGAAUCAUAGAAUUGUAGAAUUGGAAGGGACCACAAGCCCCACUUCCUGCAAUGCAGAAAUCUUUUGCCCCAUGUGGGACUUGAACCCGAGACCCAGAGAUUAAGAGUCUCAUGCUUUGCUGACUAAUGUAGUUGCCCCCCCUUCACAGAGCUGCAGCCCCCAGCACCCUUAGCACACUAUAGUUCCCAGGAUUCACGAGGACAUUUUUUUUUCCUUUUUCUUUUUAAAAGAAAAAUCAAUUGCAAACUGAUGUGGAGAUUGCAAGGAGGAAGGCGAGACGGGGGAUGUUAUUUUAAGACCGUAAAAAUGAGAAACUGAAAUUGACAGAUACACCCGUCUCUAAUUGUGACUGAGUAGCGAAAGGGGUGACCAAGACUGCUUCACAACCAAUUAUCUUUUUCCCAGGGCCUGCCCAAGAAGGCCUAAUUUUUGCAUAGAGUCAGUGAACAGGCAUCAGAUCACUUUUUCAAUUAUAUAAGGUGACUUCUGUUUCAGUGUAUCUGAAGAAGAAGUGUACAUGCACACAAAAACUUAUACCAAGAACAAACUUAGUUGGUCUCUAAGGUGCUACUGGACAAUUUUUUUUAUUUUUUUAAUGUAUUUUGACUGCGUCAGACCAACACGGCUACCUACCUGAAUCUAGAACGUGCAAAAAAAAUAAAAAUACUUUGUGUGAAGGCCUGGGAUUCGGACUCGGAGGCUGAACCUGAGGAAUCCCAGCCUGCACAGGAGUCCCCGCCUCCAGAACCAGCUGAGCCGGGGCUGGGGCUUGAGCCUGAAGGGUCCUCACCUGUGCUGGGUCCCCAGGUGCAGGCACCAGCUGAGUCUGCUCUGGCCCCUGAGGUGAUGGAGGACCCAUUACCUGCAGGUGCUCCUCUCCCAGCCCUGUCAGGGGAAUCUGAGGUUGCCUCUGGGUCCGGUAACCCUCCAGCCUCUCCUGAGCUUCAGAGGCUCAGGGCAGAGAGGCGGAGGGAACUAAGUUCCUGCACGAGGAGUGCUCGCCUCCAGGCCAGGAGAGGCAAGUCACCUGUGGACCAGGGCCACCCUAUGCCUCGGAGCAGAUAAAAGCCAGCCAGCCCCAGUGCCAAGCUGCGGGAGCAACGUUGUUGGUAGCCAGUGCCUGCCUGCAUCCUGUCCUGCCGGAGCUCCUGACCUCGCCCGACUCCCUGCUUUGGACCCAGCCUCAGCUUUGACGGACAGCCUCAAUACUGCACCCUCGACCUCGGACUGGACUUGGACUACGCCUCACGGAAAACUACGGGACCAGCACACUUUGUUUCACUCCUUGUGCCGCUGCUUCUCUGCUUGUCUAUUUUGCGAAUCCACCAUAAAUGAAGUUAUGAAUUUGUUGUGUCCAAUGCCUUUAGCAAUCAGCAUUUUAUACCUUCCCUGCCUUCGGACUAGGACCCCUCUGGACUGCUGCUGCUCUAGAUGCCUUCCAUGCCUAGGCAGCAUCUCCUACCUAAUUUCUGUGGGAUGUGAAACACAGAGCAGUCAAGUACAAUAUCCCUAGAGUGGACAUAAAAAGAGGAUGUCUGGACCAGCCUGUCAGAACUUCCUGUUUCCUCCUAGGCUGGGACAGACUUCCUCUACAUGUGACCAGAGGUGGGCGUGACCUUACCUAUGCAGGUAACAAAAUACCUCAGUGGAGGUCGCCAUCUCUCUCUGACUACAUUUGUCAAAGAAGCAACAUCUUCCAGCCAAGAGGACAAAGGGGCUAUCGCCUUAUGGGAUAGUUUCCAGGUAUCUUACUUUUGCAACUUAAGUCUGCCUUCUGGGAUCCAUUUGUGAACAGAAUGUGUGAGUAUACUCUGGUGACAGCAGUCACAAAAUUAAAAGACGCCUGCUUCUUGGGAGAAAAGCAAUGACAAACCUAGACAGCAUCUUACAAAAGCAAAGACAUCACCUUGCCAACAAAGGUCCAUACAGUUAAAGCUAAGGUUUUCCCAGUAGUGAUGUAUGGAGGUGAGAGCUGGACCAUAAACAAGGCUGAUCGCCGAAGUAUUGACGCUUUUGAAUUAUGGUCUGGAGGAGACUCUUGAGAGUGCCAUGGACUGCAAGAGGAUCAAACCUCUCCAUUCUGAAGGAAAUCAGCCCUGAGUGCUCACUGGAAGGACAGAUCCUGAAGCUGAGGCUCCAAGACUUUGGCCACCUCAUGAGAAGAGAAGACUCCCUGGAAAAGAUCCUGAUGUUGGGAAAGAUGGAGGGCACAAGGAGAAGGGGACAACAGAGGACGAGAUGGUUGGACAGUGUUCUCGAAGCUACCAGCAUGAGUUUGACCAAACUGCGGGAGGCAGUGGAAGACAGGAGUGCCUGGCAUGCUCUGGUCCAUGGGGUCACGAAGAGUCGGACACGACUAAACGACUAAACAACAACAACAAUAUAUUUUUAUAGAAGACUGUGUUAUGUCUAUCUUUUUAUGGGGGACUAAAGGGGAAAUUACCAAGGAAACUUAUUUUAGAGGCUUUAGCGAGCCUGAGCAAACGCAUCCACUGUGCAGGUUUAAAAGGGGGAAUGUUACUCUGCUAAAUUGUAGAACUUGUUAACACAAGUUGGAAAGGAUGUAAUCAAACAAUAUAUCCUCUCCUGCAUCCCUGAACAUUCCCACAAUUUCUCCCCUUGUCACAGCCUCGUUCCCCCUAAUCAGCUUGACUGGGAGAUGAUGGCUCUUUUCUGGCCACUGAAUUUACGAAACGCCAACAGCUGCCCCUUCGGCCAUUCAACUUGCAACGCUUCAGAUUGUUUUUAGAAUCAUAGAAUCAUAGAGUUGGAAGAGACCACAAGGGCCAUCGAGUCCAACCCCCUGCCAAGCAGGAAACACCAUCAGAGCACUCCUGACAUAUGGUUGUCAAGCCUCUGCUUCAAGACCUCCAAAGAAGGAGACUCCACCACACUCCUUGGCAGCAAAUUCCACUGUCAAACAGCUCUUACUGUCAGGAAGUUCUUCCUAAUGUUUAGGUGGAAUCUUCUUUCUUGUAGUUUGGAUCCAUUGCUCCGUGUCCGCUUCUCUGGAGCAGCAGAAAACAACCUUUCUCCCUCCUCUAUGUGACAUCCUUUGAUAUAUUUGAACAUGGCUAUCAUAUCACCCCUUAACCUCCUCUUCUCCAGGCUAAACAUGCCCAGCUCUCUUAGCCGUUCCUCAUAAGGCAUCGUUUCCAGGCCUUUGACCAUUUUGGUUGCCCUCCGCUGGACACGUUCCAGUUUGUCAGUGUCCUUCUUGAACUGUGGUGCCCAGAACUGGACACAGUACUCCUGAUUUUGAGAAAGCAGGUCAGAGUACAGCCUGUUCACGACCUCCUCCAGCAUACUAAGAUAAAAUCACAGAAUCAUAUGGUCUGGAGGGUUCUUGAAGGUCAUCUUGUCCUGCCUCCAAUCAGUUCCUUCAAUCUGACUCUGCCCAAAUAUGCCCACUGGAGGAGAUUGAUUGCUCCAGUAGGUAGGACCCGAACCAACUGCUUCAAGUUCCAAGAAAGGAGAUUCUGACUAAACAUAGGGAAUAACUUUCUGACGGGAAGAGCUGUUGACAAUGGAACGGACUCCCUCAGGAGGUCUUCCAGAGAGUCUUUAGCGGUGAUUGCUGUACAGUGGUACCUCGGGUUAAGCACUUAAUUCGUUCCGGAGGGCCUUACUUAACCUGAAACUGUUCUUAACCUGAAGCACCACUUUAGCUAAUGGGGCCUCCUGCUGCUGCCGCGCUGCCGGAGCACAAUUUCUGCUCUCAUCCUGAAGCAAAGUUCUUAACCUCAAGCACUGUUUCUGGGUUAGUGGAGUCUGUAACCUGAAGCGUAUGUAACCCGAGGCACCACUGUAUUUGCAAGGAGUUGGCCUGGAUAACCAAACUUGACUCAACAAUUCUAUGAUUCUAUGAUCUAUCUAUUCCUUUUUGCUCUAUCCCAUCUCUCUCUCUCUCUCUCUCUCUCUCUCUCUCUCUCUCACCUGUGAGAUUCCCCACUACUCAUUAUACACCAGUGUUCUGAUCUCAAAAGUGCUUGAAGGGACCAGGCUUCACAAUGCAAACCACCGUGCUGGCUAAAUUUCAGAAUUAGAAAAGAAUAAAAUCAUGAGCACAGGGCUCUGAGUGAAAGCAGGAUUGACCGAUUGAAAGAUACGAAAUAGAAGAACGUUAAUUGCAGGCACAUUCUAGUAUGUUCAGGUAUAAGUGUCAGAAAACCAGGAUAAGGCCGUAGAUGUCCAACAAGAAUGAAGAACUGAAAUUGCCACGCAAGGAGGAAAGCGAACACGAGGUCUGUGUGUGGAGGAAAUUGUGGAGGAGCUAUGACGCAGGUGGCGCUGUGGGUUAAACCACUGAGCCUCUUGGGCUUGCCGAUCAGAAGGUCGGCGGUUCAAAUACCCGCGACGGGGUGAGCUCCCGUUGUUUGGUCCCUGCUCCUGCCAACCUAGCAGUUCGAAAGCACGUCAAAAUGCAAGUAGAUAAAUAGGUACCGCUCCAGCGGGAAGGUAAACGGCGUUUCCGUGCACUGCUCUGGUUCGCCAGAAGCAGCUUAGUCAUGCUGGCCACAUGACCUGGAAGCUGUACACCGGCUCCCUUGGCCCAUAAAGCAAGAUGAGCGCCGCAACCCCAGAGUCGGCCACGACUGGACCUAAUGGUCAGGGGUCCCUUUACCCUUUAUGCCUAUUUUGGCUGGGGAAAACAGGAGCUGGGUUAAGAAGUCAGGAUGGAAGAGAAAGACGAAUAGCCUGUUUCAAUGACAUCUUGAAGAAACUAUCAAAUCAGAAAUAGGUAUGUCUCUUACAAGGGGAGGUGGUCAUCCAUUUAGGGAUAAGUAACCAAUUAAAUACGGGACGCGGGUGACGCUGUGGGUUAAACCACUGAGCCUCUUGGGCUUGCCGAUCAGAAGGUCGGCGGUUCAAAUCCCCGCGACGGGGUGAGCUCCCGUUGCCCAGUCCCUGCUCCUGCCAACCUAGCAGUUUCAAAGCACGUCAAAGUACAAGUAGAUAAAUAGGUACCACUCCAGCGGGAAGGUAAACAGUGUUUCCGUGCGCUGCUCUGGUUCACCAGAAGCGGCUUAGUCAUGCUGGCCACAUGACCUGGAAGCUGUACGCCGGCUCCCUUGGCCAAUAAAGCAAGAUGAGCGCCGCAACCCCAGAGUCGGCCACAACUGGACCUAAUGGUCAGGGGUCCCUUUACCCUUUAUGCCUAUUUUGGCUGGGGAAAACAGGAGCUGGGUUAAGAAGUCAGGAUGGAAGAGAAAGAGGAAUAGCCUGUUUCAAUGACAUCUUGAAGAAACUAUCAAAUCAGAAAUAGGUAUGUCUCUUACAAGGGGAGGUGGUCAUCCAUUUAGGGAUAAGUAGCCAAUUAAAUACGGGACGCGGGUGGCGCUGUGGGUUAAACCACAGAGCCUAGGACUUGCCGAUCAGAAGGUCGGCGGUUCAAAUCCCCGCGACGGGGUGAGCUCCCGUUGCCCAGUCCCUGCUCCUGCCAACCUAGCAGUUUCAAAGCACGUCAAAGUACAAGUAGAUAAAUAGGUACCACUCCAGCGGGAAGGUAAACAGUGUUUCCGUGCGCUGCUCUGGUUCACCAGAAGCGGCUUAAUCAUGCUGGCCACAUGACCCGGAAGCUGUACGCUGGCUCCCUCGGCCAAUAAAGUGAGAUGAGAGCCACAACCCCAGAGUCGGCCACGACUGGACCUAAUGGUCAGGGGUCCCUUUACCCUUUAUGCCUAUUUUGGCUGGGGAAAAACAGGAGCUGGGUUAAGAAGUCAGGAUGGAAGAGAAAGAGGAAUAGCCUGUUUCAAUGACAUCUUGAAGAAACUAUGAAAUCAGAAAUAGGUAUGUCUCUUACAAGGGGAGGUGGUCAUCCAUUUAGGGAUAAGUAGCCAAUUAAAUACGGGACGCGGGUGGCGCUGUGGGUUAAACCACAGAGCCUAGGACUUGCCGAUCAGAAGGUCGGCGGUUCAAAUCCCCGCGACGGGGUGAGCUCCCGUUGCCCAGUCCCUGCUCCUGCCAACCUAGCAGUUUCAAAGCACGUCAAAGUACAAAUAGAUAAAUAGGUACCACUAUGGCGGGAAGGUAAACGGCGUUUCCGUGCGCUGCUCUGGUUCGCCAGAAGCAGCUUAGUCAUGCUGGCCACAUGACCCGGAAGCUGUACGCUGGCUCCCUCGGCCAAUAAAGUGAGAUGAGUGCCACAACCCCAGAGUCGGUCACGACUGGACCUAAUGGUCAGGGGUCCCUUUACCCUUUAUGCCUAUUUUGGCUGGGGAAAAACAGGAGCUGGGUUAAGAAGUCAGGAUGGAAGAGUAAGAGGAACAGCCCGUUUCAAUGAUAUCUUGAAGAAACUAUCAAAUCAGAAAUAGGUGUGUCCCUUAUGGGGGAAGUGGUCGUCCAUUUAGGGAUAAGUAGCCAAUUAAAUACCAGGGGGCAGUGUCGUGAUUUGCAUAGGUCCAAAAAGCUGGGCAUUGACAUAAUUUUAAGGCUAUAAGGAUGAGACCAAAUUGGUCUCCAAGCUUCAGAAGGGAGGGGCAACUCAUUCAUUCUGGAAGACACAGCUGCUUGCUGGAAUAGGUAUUGAUCUGCUGAUUUAAUCUUUACCCUCACUUCUGCAUAAGGGAGCAACCUUUCUCGCAAAUAAAAUUCUGCCCUAUUAAUCUGUUUCUGGUGUCUUCCGGUCCGGUCUGAAUAUCUGGCAUGCCCCAGCGAACCUAGACUGCGUGGUGGCCAAAGGACUAUCUGCAAUCAGGUGUUGCAAUUGAAUUAGGAUCACGCCUUCAGAAAAAUUAGAUCUCGCUUAAUUUAAUUUUCUUUGCACCUCAUCCCCCUCCCGUCUCUUUUUCUGCGACACUCCAUCGCUCUCUGACCAUCCUCGUCUCAGGAAGUCACAUGAAAUUAAAAUAAGGCCACUGGGCUGCAGAAUCCUCACGCCAGAAAUGUGUGACGAGGCCUAGGAUCCCCGUGGCUGAGUUAGGAUUUGAACCCAGCACCCAUUCCUCCUGCGGGGACAGAGAACAUACAGUGGAACCUCGGGUUACAGACACUUCAGGUUACAUAUGCUUCAGGUUACAGAUUCCGCUAACCCAGAAAUAGUACCUCGGGUUAACAACUUUGCUUCAGGAUGAGAACAGAAAUCGCGCGGUGGCGGCGCAGCGGGAGGCCCCAUUAGCUAAAGUGGUGCUUCAGGUUAAGAACAGUUUCAGGUUAAGAACGGACCUCUGGAACGAAUUAAGUACGUAACCCGAGGUACCACUGUAUAUCCACUUUUCCCCCGCAAGCAGAAUUCUUCCGGACUGCUGUUUACCCAAACACCUAAUCUUUCUGUUGUCUCUUUUCUCUCCCCUCCCAUAUUGCUCUCUCCGGUGGGACUUAAUCCCCUCUCCUUCAAAAUAUUUAGGAUCAGAUUCAGCUCUCCCCCCGCCCCCGCCCCCGCCCCCCCGCUGAGGCAACAAAAUGUUUUGCAUGAGAAAACGAGCUGCCAAACUCCAUCCUCUUUUGGCACUGGGCACCAGCGCUGAAGUUGGCCGGUUCUUAAACAUUCAAUGCAUUCCCUGCCAUUACCUCCCCUCCUUCCAUCCCCAUGACAAAAAGCAGCUUUCUUCUCUCCCCCCCCCCCAAUUCCAUUCCGCCACAGAAUACAGUAUUUAAAAAAUGACCCCAAGUCAGGCUGAACUGGGAUUCUUUCCCUAAUGCAGAGUCUUUUUUGGGGAGAAAAGAUAAAGAAAGGAGAGAAGGACUGGAAAGAAGACUGGUUGACACCCCCGCCCUGCCCCCCUCCCCCGGCGCUCACAGCUUUGUAUAUAUUUGACAGUCAAGGAGUCAGAGUUUUCCGCUGAGGCAGGCGGAGGGGGGUGGGAUUUCGUCGUCACUCCGCACGUGCCCUUGUUCCUAAGCUCAGCAGUAUUUGGAAAAUACUGUGUUUAAAGCUUCCUUCUUGGGUUUUGACCGUGCCAAAAUCUCAAGGCUUUAAAGAGAGGGAACAGGAUGCAGCGCUUGCAAGCACUCUUUUGCAUUAGAUUUUCUGCCUCUCUUCUUUGAAAGAGGGAUGCAGAGGGUCUGCCGUGAGCCAGGCGUUUUUAGGGGGUCAGAGCAUUAAAACACACACACGUUCUUCUCAGGCAGUCUGAAGUGAGGCAGUCAUAAUAAAUAUAUAUAGGUAAAGGUAAAGAGGUAAAGGGACCCCUGACCAUUAGGUCCAGUCGUGACCGACUCUGGGGUUGCGGCGCUCAUCUCGCUUUAUUGGCCGAGGGAGCCGGCGUACAGCUUCCGGGUCAGUGGCCAGCAUGACUAAGCCGCUUCUGGCGAACCAGAGCAGCACAUGGAAACGCCGUUUACCUUCCCACCGGAGUGGUACCUAUUUAUCUACUUGUACUUUGACGUGCUUUUGAACUGCUAGGUUGGCAGGAGCUGGGACCGAGCAAUGGGAGCUCACCCCGUCGCGGGGAUUCAAACCGCCGACCUUCUGAUCGGCAAGUCCUAGGCUCUGUGGCUUAACCCACAGCGCCACCCAUGUCCCUAGAUAUAGAUAUAAAUAUAGAUAUAGAUAUAUAGAUAUAGAUAGAUGUAUAUCAAUAUAGAUGUAUAUCAAUAUAGAUGUAUAUCAAUAUAGAUAUUGAUAUAGAUAUUAUAUAAUUUGUUUGUUUGAAUUUUUUUAUUAAAAAUUUAAACAAAACAUAUUAUCCAAAAACAUGUCAUCCUAAAUUUCCCCCCAUUUUCCUCCCUCCCCCCACCCUCCCACACAAAACAUCCCCGGCCUUCCCUCAGUUCCAGUCUUUGGUUUCUUUGUGAAUGCUGUUCUCUGCAUGUUACAAAGUUGUAUAUCUCCUUAAAUUGUUUAACUGAUUAUUGUCAAUCAAAAGUUUGUGAAGGUUUAUUCAAAACCUGCCAGGGAGUCCAAUUCACUUUGUUGCAUCUUCAAAUACUUUGUAAAGGGUUCCCAUUCAUCUUUAAUGAAGUGAGGUAGCCUAGAAUAGUGGCAGGCAACCUAAGGCCCGGGGGCCGGAUGUGGCCCAAUCACCUUCUCAAUCCGGCCCGCGGACUGUCUGGGAAUCAGCAUGUUUUGACAUGAGUAGAAUGUGUCCUUUUAUUUAAAAUGCAUCUCUGGGUUAUUUGUGGGGCACAGGAAUUCCCUACAAAAUACAGUACAGCCCACCACAUGGUCUGAGGGACGGUGGACCGGCCUCCUGCUGAUAAAGGUUGCUGAGCCCUGGUCUAGAAUCUAUAAAAUCUAGAUUUCACCAGGCUCCACCCAUUGACCCAUCAAGCUCCGCCCCAAACUGGCCCCAGGCAUUCUAGAUCAGGGGUCUGCAACCUUUAAGACAAAAAGAGCCACUUGGACCUGUUUCUGAAGGAAAAAAAACUGGGAGCCGCAAAACUCGUCAUUAUAAAAAUAACUUUUUUGUCACUUUUUUAUUAUUUCUUUGUUUGACCCCUCAGAAUUACUCCUCCUCAUAGAAAUAAACGUUAAAUUAACAAGUUACCUUUUUUUAUGUGUGUGUUCUUCACUCCCCUUCAAAACAGUGACCAGCGUACAUGCCCCCUUUCAAUGCAGUGACCAGCGUACAUGCCCCCUUUCAAUGUAGCGGGCGGGCGGGCGGGAAGGUGACGUCGGGACGGUGCAUGACUAACGCACGCACCGCCCCCAUGCGACGUCACAGCCAGUACAGCACCCGCCACAGUGGGGAGUGUCGGGGCGCACAAUGCGCCUCCUCCCCUCACUAGUAUCCGCCCCGGAGCCACGGCAGAGGUGUAAAAGAGCCACAUGCGGCUCCGGAGCCGCAGGUUGCAGACCCCUGUUCCAGAUUCUUCCAUGCCCCGCCCACAUUUUGCUCCAGAGCCUCCACUCAACCUUCCACAUUCCUCUAGGCUCCGCCCAGAAUUUGAACUUCCUUUUGAUCCGGCUCCACCUCAUGGCUGUGUCUGGGGGUGGCAGUAGUAGUUCUGAAACUGAAGUCAGAAAAACCUGUUGGUUGCGCCCAGCAGCAAGCGUGAGUUUGCAUGGAUCGGAAUGAAGCAAUAUUUUUAUUUCCUAGCUGCUGCAUCCCAAAAGGACACACACACACUUUUGUAGUGAUCAGGUGGGAUUGCUAUGAGGAAUUAUAACAAAUAUAGAGUAAGCCAUCUGUGUCAGCAAUGAAAGCAUUGCGUUGACUGGGUUUAAACUAUUUUGAUAUGAUUCUUGAUCAAUCCACACUUCUGCAUCCUUGUUCCAUUUCUCUUUCUUGACAAGUCACGUACCCACUUAGAGAGGCAGGCAUCCUGGGUCAUCAAAGACAGUGGGCAGUUUCUGAUAUGUUAAUCUUAGGAUGUUAAUCUUAGGGCCAGGAAACAGGUUUCACAUAAAGGUGAUAAUGAUCGCUGUCUUCCUGGCCAUCCUUCUUAUCAUGUGUAAUGAUUGUUUAUGACCUCCGGGGUUGCUGAAUUGUAGUUUUGUAGUUUUCCUUUGUCGUUUUCAUUCAUUUACCCAAAAGUAUGCAUGCCUAACUAGUGUUUGUAGUUUAACUUUGUUCCCACGUGGGGUUUGUUGAAAUGCUUAGAAGAAAUCUGAUUGGUUCUUACAAACACUCUGUAAAAAGUUCUUUUGUGAAUAAAACGACCUGGGCCAAAGGGUGGAGGGACAGAGAGAGACACAGAGAGAGAUUAUUAUACGCAUCCUUCCCAGAGUCUUGCUGGUUCAAGCCUCUGUGUGGAUUCUUAUUAAUCAGAGUUCAGUCCUUCCUUUACUUUGAGAACGCCUCAACUUUCUUUUGCCCAGUUCUCCCCUUUCAUCCACCCACGGAAAGUAUACAAAAGCACAUUCUAUUAGGUGGAAUUGCUUUGCGGAAACAUGUAGAUUAGGCAAAAUUGCAGGCGGGCAGGUGCUGAUUAGGGAAAAUUUACACUAAAACGCUGGCGAAUCCCCAUGAGGACUUUAAAGGAAAUCACAAAUUGAUGUGGGAAGGUAGAGAACGCAAUUUAAGAUUGCAUGCCCUCCAACAUCCCACUAAUCAAAACGCAGGUGCUCAUUUUUUGGGGGUCCUUAGCUCGCGCGAGAGCCAGAUAACUCACGCGAUGGGGAAAAAAUAAUCAGUAUCUUUUGGUCCAGUGCUCUGGUGCGAGCCAGCUGAUUCGUGACAAAGCACAAGCUAGGCUGGCUUCUGUAAUUCCAGGAAGUCCCACUCAGACUGGGACGUUUGAGGAUAUGAGACUGGAAAAAUGAGAAAGUGGGGGGAACCAAAAUUCUCCGCUUUGCCCCCCCUCCCUCCUCAUAGGAUUUGGUCUCACAAUCCUGGUCAGCCUUCUAUGUUUCUCAGUGGCAUUCUUAACAUGUGGGAUGCGGGUGGCGCUGUGGUCUAAACCACUGAGCCUCUUGGGCUUGCCGAUCGGAAGGUUGGCAGUUCGAAUCCCCAAGAUGGGGUGAGCUCCCGUUGCUCUGCUCCAGCUCCUGCCAACCUAGCAGUUCAAAAGCACGUCAAGUGCAAGUAGAUAAAUAGGUACCACUCCAGCAGGAAGGUAAAUGGCAUUUCUGUGCGCUCUGGUUUCUGUCAUGGUGUUCAGUUGUGCCAGAAGCGGUUUAGUCCUGAUGGCCACAUGACCCAGAAAGCUGUCUGCAGACAAAUGCCGACUCCCUCAGCCUGAAAGCGAGAUGAGCACCGCAACCCCACAGUCACCUUUGACUGGACUUAAUCGUCUAGGGGUCCUUUGCCUUACCUUUUACCCAGAACUGGACAUAGUGGGUUGCGUCCAAGGUUAACCAUGCUCAGAGUAGACACGUCGAAUUUAAAGGACAUGACUUACAUGAGCCUGUUAAUUUCAGUGGUCCCACUUUGAGUAGAAGUUGGGACUUUAGAUGCAGCCUGGCCAGUCCUGUUAGGGUCCAAAAGCCAGCUUUUGUUGUUGUUGUUUAGUCGCUUAGUUGUGUCCGCCUCUUCGUGACCCCUUGGACCAGAGCACGCCAGGCACUCCUGUCUUCCACUGCCUCCCGCAGUUUGGUCAAACUCAUGCUGGUAGCUUCGAGAACACUGUCCCACCACCUCGUCCUCUGUCGUCCCCUUCUCCUUGUGCCCUCCAUCUUUCCCAACAUCAGGGUCUUUUCCAGGGAGUCUUCUCUUCUCAUGAGGUGGCCAAAGUCUUGGAUCCUCAGCUUCAGGAUCUGUCCUUCCAGUGAGCACUCAGGGCUGAUUUCCUUCAGAAUGGAGAGGUUUGAUCUUCUUGCAGUCCAUGGGACUCUCAAGAGCCUCCUCCAUCACCAUAAUUCAAAAGCAUCAAUGCUUCGGCGAUCAGCCUUUUAUUGAGGACAAUGCCACUACCUUAAACUUAGCCCCAUGCCCUGUGGAUAGAGGGUCUUGCAAACCUUUCCUCGCACUCUUCCCUCGAUGGCGGAGCGAGUAAGCAGAUCCAAAGACUGCUGAUAAAGACUGGUCUCGAGCCAUGAAUUGUAGUAUCUGGAGAUCUGCAGGGAAAGAGUAGUUUGAUACCUUGUCUAAACAGAUUGACUUUCAAUCCAUCAACUCCAGGCAGCUGCUGGCUAGCUGGCUUUUUAAUUUUUGUUCUUUUUCAUUUUUAUUUUAAAGGAAGCAGCUGCAGAAGUGGGCCUUUGGGGAAAAGAAACCUCUAGCUUUCAGAGAAGGUGGGGAGGGGGAAUUGGGGGGAAGCGGUGGUUCUGCGGCGCCCACCUGGUGCCGGUGAGGGGCCAGCGCUGAGACGUGGCUCUCAGUUUCAGCCUCCAUCCAGAGGAAUACAUGCAGCCCUGAGCGUGGAGCUGAGUCAGCGGCAAACAUCCACAAAGCGAUUUCUCUGGGGACCAAGGGAGGAGAAGGAGCAUGCAGGAAAGACAAGCGCUUUUGACGGCUCCUGGGUUAACUAAAAGGGAACCAUUUAAACCCAGGCAAUAAAUGAGUUAAGGAGGGUGUAAAAGUUGGCCCAGGGGUGAGGUCCCGGCAGGGCUGCAAAUCUGCCGAGCGGAAAGGAAAGGCUUCUGCAAAUGGGUUGCAAAAGUGGCACCUCAUUUGGCUUUCCCACCAAGCUCACAGCUCCACUGCCACCCUCAAAGCAGACGUCCUUUCCCUGAGCUGGGAUGCAGGCAACAAAGGCUUUCGAGUCAGGUUGUUGUUGUUUAGUCGUUUAGUUGUGUCCGACUCUUCGUGACCCCCUGGACCAGAGCAUGCCAGGCACUCCUGUCUUCCACUGCCUCCCGCAGUUUGGUCAGACUCAUGUUUGUAGCUUUGAGAACACUAUCCAACCAUCUCAUCCUCCGUCAUCCCCUUCUCCUUGUGCCCUCCAUCUUUCCCAACAUCAGGGUCUUUUCCAGGGAGUCUUCUCUUCUCAUGAGGUAGCCAAAGUCUUGGAGCCUCAGCUUCAGGAUCUGUCCUUCCAGUGAGCACUCAGGGCUGAUUUCCUUCAGAAUGGAUCAGUUUGAUCUUCUUGCAGUCCAUGGGACUCUCAAGAGUCUCCUCCAGCACCAGAAUUCAAAAGCAUCCAUUCUUCG
rnacentral:lncRNA from 1 species